rnacentral:lncRNA from 1 species
UGUUUAUUUUGGUAUGUAAUCCCAUAAAGUAUCAGCCAUUGGGUGGAAAUUGGAGUCUCUUGGUCCUAAACCCUAGCUAUGGGUGUAUUUUGCCUAGAUCUCACUCUCUACACGUAAAGGUUGCAACUUUACGUGGGAAAUAGGCUUGGGGAGGGUAGAUCUAUAGUUUGGAGCUCAUGCAUGACUCGGAAGUCCUCUGCAUGUAAGUGGAUCUUAGUGGACUCGACGAGUCCUUCGAGUGGACUCGGCGAGUAGCUUGAAGAUGAGGAGGAACUCGACGAGUAGGAUGAACAGCUCGUCGAGUCGGUUGAAGUUAGGCAUGGACUCGGCGAGUUGGAUGAACAACUCGACGAGUUGGUUGAAGAUUGUCUUGGACUCGGCGAGUCUGUUCUUGGACUCGGCGAGUCAGAUCGCGAAACCCUAAACCCUUUGAGUUGAGACUCGAAUCAGUGAGUCGGGUGGUGACUCAGCGAGUUGGACAGGACAGGACUUGGAACUAGUUGGACUCGGCGAGUCAUGGACUGACUCGGCGAGUCGGGUCGCGAAUAAGAAAGACCCUGAGCUUAUGAACUCGGCGAGUCUUUAGGAAGACUCGGCGAGUAGGGUUGACCUGGAAGGUUGACUUUGACCAGAGUUGACUUAGUUGACUGUCAGACUAAGUGUUAUAUGUAUAUUGAUAGCUCGGAGAGCUAGAGGAGCAGCGGUUCAGGGGAUUGUCGAGUUGCAGCCAGAGGUUUAUCAGCAGGGCUCAGCAGUUCAGGUGAGUUUCCUUCCAGUAGGAACGGGUCUAAGGCCACAAUGCCGGCCCGUUUAGCUAGCAGUAGUUUUCGGACUUUGAUCUGAUACAGUAGUUAGUAUGUUUGAUGCCUUCGUGGCUCAGACAGGAAUUAUGUGUUAUGUGUUCCGGGCUACGGCCCGAUGUAGUGUGCAGUAUACGUGUGUUCAUGCUAGUUGAUAUGUUUAUGUUAUGUUCUGCUCAGUCAGUUUCCGAACUGCGGUCCGAUGCAGGGGGCAAGGCCCCAGUUAGUCCGGACUUCGGUCCGAUGCAGGGGGCAAGGCCCCAGUUAGUCCGGACUUCGGUCCGAUGCAGGGGACAAGGUCCCAGUUAGUCCGGACUUCGGUCCGAUGCAGGGGGGCAAGGCCCCCAGUUAGUCCGGACUUUGGUCCGAUGCAGUGGGCAAGGCCCGAUAUGUGCUUUAUGUGUUUCGUGUGGUUUGUGGUAGAUUGGGGGAGCUCACUAAGCUUCGUGCUUACGGUUUUCAGUUUUGGUUUCAGGUACUCGGUUAUCAAAAGAGGAGCUCGGGAAGAUUGCAGAGCACACACCAUAGUCAGUUAGCCUGGGAAUGUUUGACUCUGAUAAUGAUAUUAUGUUUUGAAUUUAAUACUCGAAAGUUAUGUUUGCCUUAUGAUACGUUUUAUAAAUCCAGUUUUAGUAAUGUUUUAAAAAGAAAUUUUUAGUCGUGAUUUUUGGGUCGUUACAAACGCCUUAUUCUCCUUUUGACUUUUGACUUCUUUUCCAAAUCACUUAGAGCUAUAUAUGUUCCUGUUAGAACUUCUUAAUCUUAUUUUAGACCUGUGGUAGCCACCAUCCAGUAUUGUUGCCAAGUCCAAACAAAAACUUCAUUUAAACAGAUAUGAAUAUCCUAACCCAUCCUCUCUCUUUUAUUAUUAUUAUUAUUAUAAAACCAUGACAUUCUAUAAAUUGCUCUUUCUUUUAAUUUUGACCCCUCUAAAAAAUUUGAAGUAAAAGCUAGGCUUUAAACAAUGUCAUGCUCUUCAACAACAAUGACCCUUUAUUUAGCAUCGUCUUCUUUUCCAUAGUGUUGGGAAUGCAACAAGACAAGUUAAGCACUUCUGAAAACUGAUAAAUGAUUUCGGUAACACUCGCGAAAUAAAACUACUUUAAAAUUACAAUCGAAGCUGAAUACGAUAUUUAACGUGGUUCGGUCUAAUCUGACCUACAUUCACGGGCGAAUGAGAGAGAGGGGAUUCUUUUAACACCAAGGAAAUUAGAAUCAUACAAGGCUAAAAUCUGCACUUGUAAUCUGAUCACUCACUGUAAGAUAUCACUCGUAAUUUUUGGCUGCCAAAAAUUAAGGCUCUGCAAAAAAAAAAAAAUAAUACCUCACUAAUUUAUGUGUAUCUAUUCUCUAUGAUGUUAUGCUCUAUGUUGUUUCUACUUACAACACACAUAUUUAUAUAUAUAUAUAUAUAAAUCUUAUANNNNNNNNNNNNNNNNNNNNNNNAUAUAUAUAUAUAUAUGUUGUGACCCGUAACAAUAAUUCACUCUAAUGUGAAAGUGAAUACCCAUCAUUUGACAUUUGUAAAUUGUCUGCCAAAGGAAGAAAAUUUCCUCCUCGAAAAUAUGUGUAGGUUGAAAUAAUUUCAAGCAUUUAGUGUUGCUUGCGGCUGAAACAAAAUUUCUUCUACACAUGAAGUUGGUGAUAGUGACGUAUUCCAACAAUUCAAUUCAAUUGUUAAUUGCUAAGUUACAUUUAUGGUCCUUAAACUCUUAGGAACUUGUUAAUUUGUUCAUGACUCCAUAAGUCUUAACAAUAUCCCACUUGGAGGCUUGAACAACUUAGUCUUUCUCUGCCAUCCAAAACUUUGCAACAUUCUUUAAUCUCUCUCUCUCUCUCUCUCUCUCUCUCUCUCUCUCUCUGUGCCAUGCCUUUUUCUUAAACUUCUAAAAUGCCAGUUGAAUCCAUACAAAGCUUCAACUUUUUAGUGGUAACCACCUUGGUGAACAUAUCUGUUGGAUUCUUCGUUCCAAGGAUUUUCUUCAGAUUUAGAGUUCCAUAAUUAAUUAAUUAUCGAAUAAAAUGGUACCUCAUCUGAAUGUGUUUCGUUCUACUAUGAAACACUGGAUUUUUUGCCAAGUAAAUUGCGCUCUGGUUGUCAUAAUACAAUACACAAUCCUCCUGAUGCAUUCCGAGUUCUAAUAGAAAGUUCUUCAACCAUAUAAGCUCUUUGGCUGCUUUUGCAAUAUCAAUAUACUCCGCUUCUGUGGUUGAGAGAGCAACACUAUUUUUUAACCUGGACAUCCAACUGAUUAAUGUACCUCCAAUCAUGAACACAUAACCUGUUGUGCUCUUUCCUGAAUCCACACAUCCACCCAAAUCAGCAUCGAUGAACCCUUCUAAGAUCACACCCUUUCUUCUGAAACAUAAGGCAACCUCAAAUAUCCCUUUUCAAGUAGCGUAGCAACCACUUUACUCCCUCCCAAUGCUCUCUUCUUGGAUUUGACAUGAACCUGCUCACAACUCCCACUGCAUGAGCAAUGUCUGGUCUGGUGCAUACCAUAGCUUACAUCAAGCUACAAACUGCAGAUGCAUAGGGAACUUUAGUCAUCUGUUCCUUAUCUUCUUUCAUCUUUAGGGAUUGCUUCUUUGAGAGUCUCAACUGACUUCCUAAAGGUGUACUUCUGGAUUUAGCAUCUGCGAUGCUGAACUUUUCUAAAACUUUCUUGAUGUACUUAGCUUGUCAAAGUUUUAGUGUACCUCUAACUCUGUUCCUGGCUAUGCUCAUGCCCAAUAUCUGCUUAGCAGCCCGUAGGUCCUUCAUCUCAAACUCUCUGGACAAAUGCUUCUUAAGCUUGCUGAUCUUCUGCAUGUCAGACCCAACGAUCAACAUGUCAUCAAUACACAUUAACAAGAUGAUGUAUGAGGAGUUGAAUUUCUUCAAGUAACAACAGUGAUCCAUCUCACAUCUGUUGUACCCACUCCUUUGCAUGAAUCUAUCAAACUUCAAGUACCACUGUCUUGGAGCUUGCUUCAAUCCAUACAGACUUUUCUUCAGUUUACACACCAGAUUUUCCUUACCAACUGUGGGAAAACCCUCUGGUUGUGUCAUGUAGAUGUCUUCUUUCUGGUUACCAUCGAGAAAAGUUGUCUUCACAUCUAGCUGCUCUAGAUGGAGAUCUUUAGAGGCUACAUUACCCAAGACCAUUCUGAUUGUAUUCAUCUUUACAACUGGAGAGAAGAUCUCAUUGUAAUCAACUCCUCUCUUCUGUUGAAACCCUUUGACUACCAACCUUGCUUUGUAUAGUUUGGUGCCAUCAAUCUUAUCUUUGACCAGAGACACCCAUUUGUUCUGCAGUGCUUUCUUCCGUACUGGGAGCUUGACCAGGGACCAAGUAUGGUUCUUAUCAAGUGAGCUCAACUCGUCUUCCAUAGCCUUCUUCCACUGUAUGGAAUCUUUCAUCCUUUAGGCCUCUAGAUAAGACUCAUGUUCACCAUUCUCAGUCAACAACAAGUAAUUAGCUGAAGGAGAAUACCUUACUGGAGGUCUUCAUACUCUAGUGGAUCUACAUAUAAUAGGAGUUUCGGUUUCUACAUCAUCUGCAACCUCAUCCUCUGAACUACUAUCCACUGUGCUCCCACUAUCUCAAGAUACAUCAGAGCUCCCACUGCUUCCUGAAAUUUCACCUAUCUCUUGAGUACUAAUAGGUUUUACAACGUCAUCAUCCGAGAUUUCUUUUAACUCAACGAUCCUUUUUUUUAUGGUUGCUUGUCACCAUUGGAGCUCUUUGCAAGUUCAUCCUUGUAUAGAGCAUUCUCGUUGAACACCACAUCCCGACUUCUGAUAACUUUCUUAUUCUUAUUAUCCCAGAAGCGGUACCCCAUGUCAUCCAACCCGUAACCUAUAAAGGUGCACUUCCUUUCCUUUACCUCUAGCUUGUCUUUCUCUGAGUCUUUAACUUUGACACACAAGACACAACCAAAUACCUUCAAGUGUUUGAGCGAAAUCUCUCGACCUUGACAUUCCUCUUCUGGAAUCUUGAACCCUAUGGGGACUUAGGGUCCCAUGUUGAUUAAAUAUGCAUCUGUGUUGACCGAAUCUUCCCAGAACAUCUUAGGUAAACCUGCAUGCAGUCUCUUGCUUUUAUCCCUCUCGUUUAAUGUUCGGUUCAUCCUCUCAGGUACUCCAUUUUGUUGAGGUGUCUCUGGAACCGUCUUCUGCAUUCUGAUUCCUUGGUCAACACAAUAAUCAACAAAUUCUUUGCUAUUGUAUUCGUCCCCAUUGUCUGAUCUGAAACACUUGAUUUUCAAGUUUGUUCCAUUCUUUACAAUGGCUUUCCAUUUCUUGAAUGUGUUGAAAACUUCAUACUUAUGCUUCAAUAAAUAAACCCAAACUUUCCUUAUGCAGUUGUCAAUGAAAGUAAAGUAAUAUCGGGAACCUCCCACUGAAGAAACUGAAGUGAGACCAUAAACAUCUGAAUGGACUAACUCCAACUUCAUGGACUUGGGUGGAUGACCUAUGUUUGUGAAAGUAACCUUCUUCUGUUUACCCAGAAUACAUGGCUCACAGAAGUCAACUGUCACAGUCUUCAGAUCUGGUAUUCUUCCUUUGGAGGCUAGCAUAUUCAUUCCUUUCUCAUUCAUAUGGCCAAGUCUUUGGUGCCAUAGAGUGGAUGCCCCAACUUCUUCAAUUGCAUGUACUUCAGCAUCAGAAACUUCCACCAUAUAAAGUGUACCCCGUUUCUGACCUCUAGCAACAACUAAGUUUCACUUUGUCACUUUCCAUGGAUGAUCACAAAAUGUAACAUGGUGACCUUCAUCAUCAAGUUGCCCCACAUAUAUUAACAUCCUCUUCAAGUCUGGAAGGAACUUGACAUUCUUCAAAGUCUACUUUGUACCCAAAGUUGUCUUGAGGACCAUAUCCCCAACUCCAGUAAUAUUCAGGCUCUUGUUAUCUGCUAAUCUGACUUUCCCUUUAUACUACUUGAAAUUAUGCAUUACUUCUCUGGAAUGACUAGCAUGAAACAACGCACCAGAAUCCAUAAUCCAGGAUUCAGUUGAGUUUUUAACACAACAAAUGAGCGCAUCAUCCUCAGAAUUUGCUGCCAUAUUUACUUCCUUCUUGCCUUUGUCUGCCAAAGGCUUUGGGCAAUGAUUUUUGAAAUGACCUUUCUCAUUACAGUUCUAGCAGGUGAUAUCUUUCCUGUUCUUCUACUGACCUCUCUUUCUUGACUUCGAUCUUCCUCUACCACCACCUCCUUUAUUGGUCUUUCUUCCUCUGUCUUCAGUACUUAGAAGACUAAUGGAAGCUUCUCCGACGAUCCUUCUGUAUACAUCCUCACUAAGGAUUAUAUCGCGAAUACCUUCGAAUGAUAGCCUGGCACCUCCGGCUGAACUGCUAACGGCGGUCACUAUGCCAGACCAACUUUCGGGCAACGAUGAUAAUAGUCGCAACGCCAUGACUUCAUCCUCAAAUCCAACAUCAACAUAUAUCAGUCUUGAUAUUAUUGAGUUGAAUUCAUUCACGUGGUCUGUCAAAGAGCUACCCUCCUUCAUCUUCAGAUUUACAAGUUGUCGGAUCAAGAAAACUUUAUUUGGCAUUGAAGGUUUUUUGUACAUAUUAGACAACGCAUUUAUCAAAUUGUAGGUUAUCUUCACAUUAACAAUAUUGUAAGCUACAUUCUUUGCCAAUGAUAACCUUAUCACUCUGAGUGCCUGCCGAUCUAAUAAGUCUCAUUCCUUCUUCGUCAUCGCUUCGGGUUUGUCUUUGGACAAAGGUUGGUGUAACUUCUUCCGGUAGAGAUAAUCUUCGAUUUGCAUUCUCCAAAAAUCGAAAUCUUGACUAUCGAAUUUUUCGAUCUUAACUUUCCCAUCUUCAGCCAUAGCUCUGAUACCAGUUUGUUGGGAAUGCAACAAGACCAAUUAAGCACUUCUGAAAAAUGAUAAAUGAUUUCGGUAACACUCGCGGAAUAAAACUACUGAAAAUAGCAAACAAAACUGAAUACGAUAUUUAACGUGGUUCGGUCUAAUCUAACCUACAUCCACGGGCAAACGAGAGAGAGAGAGGAUUUUAUUAACACCAAGGAAAUUAUAAUCAUACAAGGCUAAAAUCUGCGUUUGUGAUCUGAUCACUCGCUGUAAGAUAUCACUCGUAAUUUUUGGUUGCCAAAUAUUAAGGCUCUGCACAAAAAAUUAACACCUCACUAAUUUAUGUGUAUCUAUUCUCUAUACUUAUAAAGGGUCAAAAACAUCUUGGGAUUGUUUUCGGAUUCUUAUGCCAAAUUACCAAAUAUAUGGGUCACAUGUAACUAGAGUUUUGUACCUGAGGGGUUGUAAUUUUAAAAAGUAUUUACCGAAUCAUUGUUGUUUCAAAGUUAUUUACCAAAAGAUAAUAUAUUGGUUUUUAGUAGUUAGAUUCUAACCGUUUAAAUUUAAUAAAAUAUAAUUUAGAUUUUACAUUAUUUUUAUAGUUUGUUUACAAUAAUAAAAAGACCACGUAACCUUAUCUUUUUACCAAUUCAUUAUAUUCAAAAUUAUUUGAUUAAAUCACUAUUAAUUUAUAUGUUUUUUUGAACGGUUAAAAAAAUUAAAGUAUUUUAAAUUAUAAGAAAAAACAUCAUAAAUGGUCCGUGUGGUUACCUAAAAUCUAAAGUUUAGUUCCCGUGGUUUAAAACCCUCACAGAUGGUCCCUGUGUUUUCAAAACUUUUGAUGUUUGGUCCUUUUUGCUGACUCCGUUAAGUUUUGUCCGUUAACUAAAGGACAUUUUCGUCAUUUCGCUACCAUAAGGACCAUUUAUGAUGUUUUUUAUUAUUUUUUUGAAAAAAAAAAAGAAACUGAAAUUUAAUAUGCAAGGGGUCCCCCCCUCUCUCUCUCUCUCCAUCAGCCCAUCAUCGUUCCUUCUUCCUCCACUCAUUCCAUCGUCUAAAUGGAAAAGAAUACCAUCGAAGCAGACAACAAUUUCUCCGGUUGCAUAUUCACAACUUAAUCAGAUCAUUACUAUGUUUCCCCAAAAUUAGAAUCAAUAUAGGAGGCAGAAGAAUUACGACAAGGGUGGAGAGAAACCUGAAACGGGCCCAAUUAAGAAUCAGUAAUGAAAGCUCCAAAAAUAGAGAGACCAUUUGAAAGUUCUAACCAGACAGAGAGUAUGCUUGUUCCAAUUACAACUUUCAUGUGAUCAACUUCCAUCAGAUAGAAUAUCAUGUUUGGCAACAAAGAUCGCUACUCUCUUGAAUGCUUCAUUCAAUGCCAUCAAAACCAAAAUUAAAACCAUAAUUACUACAACUGAGAUGCAUUUUUAUACGAGCUAAUGAAAACUGAUUGAGUUUUCUAUGAAUUCAUGUACAGGGUACAUAUAAGGAUGGAAGAAUUUGGGGAUUUUGAAGUAACUUUGAUGAAUGACAUGAUAUGAUCCAAGUGCCUUUUAGUGGGUCUCGAUUCUCGAUUUAUCCAUGAACUUAAAUUGAAAAAACAAGUGAGGGACAAGAAUCCCGCAUCUCUAUACUCAUUAUGCUUGAAUCGAUCAACCACUCAUUUUGAAUCAAUCAUCAAGCUUGCAGCAACCUCACGAAAAAAACAAAGCACCCUCACCCCUUAAUUCUGAUUCAUAUAACCUGCAGGUUUCGAUUUCAAAGAACUAUAACAUUCGAUUUUUAAAAAACACUUCCUUGAAGGUGGGUUUCGUUUCCUUGAAUGCUUGGGUUGGAUUUCGAUUUCAUAAGUAAUGAAAGAGAUGAAAUCGAUGGUACUUCAUGAUGUUGAUGUGGAUAAAGAAAAAAUGAUUAAGGUAAUACACCUUCCUUAAUCAAAGAAUCGAUUUACUAUGCGUCUAUCCUGUUUUUUCUUUCUACUUCUUAAGGUAGCGAAUUAGAAAAAGGAAUUGAAGAAGACGAUCUAGAGCAAAUGGAGGCGUGGAUUGAGAGAGAGAGAGAGAGAGAGAGAGAGAGAGGAUGGCACAUUUUAUGUAUUAAAUAAUAAUAUUUAAUUUAAAAAAAUAAGAGAAAACAUCUUAAAUGGUCCCUAUGGUAGUGAAAUGACAAAAAUGCCCUUUAGUUAACAUUCAAAACUUAACAGAGUCAGCAAUAAGGACCAAUCGUCAAAAGUUUUGAAAGCACAGGGACCAUCUAUGAUGUUUUUAAACCACGGGGACUAAACUUCAGAUUUGGGAAAACCAUAGGAACGAUUUAUGAUGUUUUUUCAAAUUAUAAAGAGUAAGAAGUAAUUUUUAAUUGUUUUAUUGUACAUAGUUUAUUUUUUUAUGAAUGUCUCGUUUUUUAUUUUAUAACCAUUUUGAAUAGAAACAUAACAAAAUACCAACAAAUGUAACAUGAACAUCAAAUGGUAUAAAUAUAAAUAUAACUCAGGUAAAUCUUGUAUAAUCAAUCAUUACUAAUAUAAAAUAAGUAAUUUUUAACGUAUAUAACAAAAAAAUCUAGAAUAAAUACUACUCGAUCAAACACCUUCACAUAUCUAUAGGUCGUUUCCUAUGUUUAGAAGGACAUGUUAUUUGAUUAUGACCACUUAGUCUACACAAUCCACAAAGAUUACCUUUCUUUCCUUCUUUAAUGUCUAUUCCAUUUCGUAGCCUGGUGGAGCGAGGGCAACCUUUUUCCUUUUGUUUUAACUCUGAAUUUGGAAGCAUUCCUUGAAUAGACGUCUCAGGCCAAUAUGCUUCAUGAGGGAUUAGGGAAAAGUCAGAUGCCUAAGUAGCAGAAUAUUCAAAAAUUAAGUAAUAUUGUUGAAUAUAUUGACUAGUAUUUAAAGAAAGAUAGGCACAUGCACUCAAAACAUGAGAACACAGAUACUUAUAUAUCUCCCACUUAGCACAUGUGCAAGUGUUUUUCUCAAAAUCAACUACUUGCACAUUUUUUUCUUUUUGAGUUACCACCUCAAUUAUUCCUUUUUGUCGGUUNUCUAUGAUGUUUUUAAACCACGGGGACUAAACUUCAGAUUUGGGAAAACCAUAGGAACGAUUUAUGAUGUUUUUUCAAAUUAUAAAGAGUAAGAAGUAAUUUUUAAUUGUUUUAUUGUACAUAGUUUAUUUUUUUAUGAAUGUCUCGUUUUUUAUUUUAUAACCAUUUUGAAUAGAAACAUAACAAAAUACCAACAAAUGUAACAUGAACAUCAAAUGGUAUAAAUAUAAAUAUAACUCAGGUAAAUCUUGUAUAAUCAAUCAUUACUAAUAUAAAAUAAGUAAUUUUUAACGUAUAUAACAAAAAAAUCUAGAAUAAAUACUACUCGAUCAAACACCUUCACAUAUCUAUAGGUCGUUUCCUAUGUUUAGAAGGACAUGUUAUUUGAUUAUGACCACUUAGUCUACACAAUCCACAAAGAUUACCUUUCUUUCCUUCUUUAAUGUCUAUUCCAUUUCGUAGCCUGGUGGAGCGAGGGCAACCUUUUUCCUUUUGUUUUAACUCUGAAUUUGGAAGCAUUCCUUGAAUAGACGUCUCAGGCCAAUAUGCUUCAUGAGGGAUUAGGGAAAAGUCAGAUGCCUAAGUAGCAGAAUAUUCAAAAAUUAAGUAAUAUUGUUGAAUAUAUUGACUAGUAUUUAAAGAAAGAUAGGCACAUGCACUCAAAACAUGAGAACACAGAUACUUAUAUAUCUCCCACUUAGCACAUGUGCAAGUGUUUUUCUCAAAAUCAACUACUUGCACAUUUUUUUCUUUUUGAGUUACCACCUCAAUUAUUCCUUUUUGUCGGUUAAAAGAUUUGAGGGUGUGUGCACUAGCUUUUGACAUUGAUGCUGCUUGUUUUACAACAAAAUGAUGAGUAAAAACAUAUCCGUUAGCUUAAGCAGUAGGUCCCAAAGAACACCUCACAUCAAAAUAGUGAACUAAUCUAUAAAAUAUAAGUUGGACGCAUGGAGUGAUUGGUAAAAACGAGCACCUUUAAAUACACUAUUAAAAAUCUCUGACAUAUUUGUAGUGAGCAACCCAUAGCGUUUUCCACUAUCAUGUGCAAGUGUCCAUCUACAAAGUGAAUGUCCCUCGAGCCAUUGACGAGUUUGUGCAUUUAGUUUUCCAAUUUCAUCCAUGAUAGAGUUGAACUUACGAACUUGAUUUUGACUUCCAACACGGUAAGCUAAAACUUUUAAAUGUGAAUUGUGAAACUUGUCAUGAAAGUUAUUGACAAAAUGUCGCAAACAAUACCUGUACAAAUCCUUUCAAAUGUGAGAAUUAAAUUAAAUGUACCAUAAAAGUGGUUAAUGAAAUUAAAUAAUAAAUACCUGUGAAAACUAUGGGGCUCCAAUCAUGGUGAUCCUUGCUCAUUAACUACCUUUAGGAUUCCACUAUGAUGAUUAGAUAUUAAACAAAUGUCGUCACGUUCUUUCACCACAUGUUUCUUUGACAUGAUUAAGAAACCAAUACCAACUACUAUAUGAUUCAUUCUCAACAAUAGAAAAUGCAAGAGGAAAAAUUUGAUUGUUACCAUCAACUCCCAUUGCAAUCAUCAUCUUUCCCUUAUACUUACCAUAUAAAUGUGUCGCAUAAAUGCUAACAACAUGCCGACAAAGCGCAAAUCCGUUGAUAUAAGGAGCAAAAACCCAAAACACACGUCUGAACUCCACUUGAUCCACACUACUCCCCCUUUGGUUCAUAUUACUAUCUAUGUGAUCCAUAUUACUAUCUAUGUAACACAUUAAUUUAUACAUAUCUACAUUUACUACAAAACCCAUAAAAUAUAAAAAAUAAAAUUUUGAAAGAAAUUCACACCAUCAUGAUUAAAAAUAAACUUUGAAGUCAACAAUCUUAUUGAUUCAAUUGAUGCUACGUAUUGAUGAAAGGGAAUCAAAAACCAUAAAUUUCAGAGUCCUAAAAUUAAUAUACAAACAACAAGUAUAUUGGUGAAGGAGUUGAUUAGUCUUUUUAUCCGGUCAAAAUCAACAUAUAAAAAUUUGACUAAAACAUAAACAAAAGGUCAAUGUGAAUAAAACUUUACUGUAGAAAAAAUUGAAAAAGAUGAUGGUAAUCAAUGUUUUCAAUGACCGGCGGCACAUGGAAGAUGAACGAUGAGCAAAUAACGCAUUGGGAUGUUGGAGUUCAUAGGUUAAUAAGGUUUUUUUUUAAAUAAAACUACAAUUAUUUUGGAAACUAGAAAAGGUGCCCCGCGUUGCGGGGAUUGGACAACAUUCGUUUGUAAUACGGAAUCGAGUACAAGAAAUAAUAGAAUUCUUUCAUUUGACAAAAAUAAGCUACUAUAGGCUAUAGCUACUUCGACACACAAAUCUGGGGACAUUUUUCUAUCAACACAUAGAUCAAGAAUCUAGAUUGUGUUUCUGUGAGUCCAAGUUCCGAAGGACCACCAACAUGCUUGAUUGAACUUAUUGGACUGGCCCCGGUUCCACCAUCAUGUCCUAAUAUCUACAAAAGGAAAUCAUGUAUUUUGAUAUGUUAGCCAUAUUUGACGCCUGAUUAUAUUUCAGCUAGAAUUAGUUGAAUUUCACAUAAAAUCAGUUAGAAGGGCAUUUUUCUAAUUUCUUUUAAUUAAAUAGCAAUCUAUUUUUACUAAUUUGUUUAUUAUAACAUUCUACUUUCAGUGUCUUUAACUAAGCACCUUCUAGUCUCAUUUGUAUCAGUCCAAAAUUUAGUUGUGCCCUCGGAAAGAAGCCUUUACCCAAAAUGAUAGACUAUCAUAUGACAAUGAAAUGAUGAAUAACAUGAGACAUUAAAAAAAUGCUUACUUCCAUUCUCCAAACAGGAUGUCGAAUGUAAAACUACUUUUAAUCUGGAUAAUUUUUCCCUGCACUUUUAUAUUUGACGGGUUAUUUCCUAGUUGUAUAUAAUUAAGUUUUUAUAAAUCCAAGGCAUAGAGCGUUUUACCUAAUUAUAGCAUCAUAGUUAGAUGAAGUGUCAAAUUCAACAACUUAAUACAAUAAGUACCUGUAAUGGAUCUGAACAUAUCUGAUUAACAACUUAUUUUAAAAAUGCUAUGAUGUCCGCUUUUGUCAAACCUGUAAUUUUUAACCCGGAGAACCGGUUACCGGUUAUCGGAGAACCGCUUUUGACAAAUCUAUUAUUUUGAUUAACUCUUCAUUAAUGAUUUUCUUCUGUAAAUAGAUGUAAUUGUUAGACUAUAAUGUCCUGAUUAAUGAAUAUUUGAAAGUGUAGUGCUAUACAAAAUGAUAAAAAAGGUGUAAAAAGUUAGGAAAGAAGCACACAUUUUGAAAUGUAUUUAGUAAGAGCACCGCUACACAACAUGGAAGCUUCUUCAUACGGAUAGAGAGCAACAUAAACCAUACUCUCAAAAAAUGAAAAUUAUAAAUACAUUUUUUCAAAAAUAAAUAACUUUUUGUAUAAAUCAUAGUUAAAAAAGAAUAUAAUAUAUGAACAUACCUUACUUCCCCUUGAUAUCAAAUUAUUCACUUCUACCUCUAACUCCUUCUACUUACUUUGCGAUUGUAACUAUGGAGCUGUACCUUUAUAUUCAACAUAUAGCCUGUAAAACAAAACUUUCAAUCAUAUUUACUUAAUUGUUUUAAGAAAAGAAACAUAAUUUUUUUUGCAUUUUCUUAUUAAAAAUCAUACCCAUCAGGGAAAUGACAGCCUUUAUUGGCUCCAAAUGGCGUAAUCCCACCUGUCCCAUACAUACAUCCAAUAAGUGUCAAGUUGAAUCUAACCUGAAACAGUGGAGUUGCCACAUAAUUAAAAUCUAAUUACCCUAUUCGGUUAUAUGAAGUUCUUAAAAUUUUGAUCCAAAGGUUCUAAUUAGAGAAUAUAUGUUCCUCUCUUCUCUUCAUCAUGGCUUCCAUCUUCAUUAACAAACUUAUUAACAUAUUAAUAAGGUCAUUAUCAUUGGAGAAAUGACUUAGCCAAAAUUAUUAGAACAUUAUAUGCACACAUUUUACUUAGAUUUAAGUUUCCCCCUUGAUCAUCAACAGGUAGCAGAACAUAAACUCCCAAACUGCACAUAUAAAAAAAAUCAUUUAAAAAAAAGCCAAUUACAAUAGAAAAAUCAUAAUAUAUGAUGAGAAAGGCUAACCAUACUUAAAGCGUUAUUGGAAUACGACAUGUAGAAGCAAGUAUGUCGACUUACCACUUCAUUGGGAUGAAAAGAGUCAAAGAACAAAUACUCAGUGGAAUUUUCACAUACUUCAUUCUCUUUUAUCCAUCUUACCCCUCCACAUUUGUUAUGCAUUCUUGAUUCCUUUGAUGGAAGCAUAAAUUCAAAACAAAAUACAACAUUAGGGGUAAAAUCAUCCAGAUUUGAUAUUUUACUUACAAAUAAGGUAUUAUUAUGCAUUUUAUCAAAAUAUCUUUAAUGGAAGAGUAUAUUAAAAAAUAGUUGGAGGGAAGUAAAUAUGUGUGGCAUGAUAACAUGGUAACAUUUUUAUACUGAAUUUGGAAGAGUCACACGAACAUCAAUUUAACUGAAAAUGCAACCCUAAAUGGUGUAAAUCUCAAUUUCACCAGAAUAUGACUUUCACUGCACGGGCUUGUUACCUACACAAAUGGACACAUAAAUAAAUAUGUAUUGAAAAUCUAUAUAAAUGAUUAAAAGUAAUACUGAUAACACAUAAAAUGAGGUUUGAAUAAAAUUUUUCCUUGUAAUUUGAAGGCAACAACUAAAAUUUUAAGACCAAUUUUUUUAUUUCCUUGUAUGUAAGAAGUGUCCCUUUUGUCAGAAAUCAAGAUCAUAGAAAGAAGCUAAGUUUUUUAAGCCAAUAUAUUAUAUAUCAUUAAACCAUUAUAAAAUAAAUAUGCGCCUCUAUCGAGUGCUUGUUGAGUGUAAUCCUAAAGUAAUGAACUUUUUCAAGGUUCAUGUAGCCCUGCCAGUAAGAUAAUAUAAAUUAGGGAGAAUUUCAUAUAUGCCCCUCUUAAACUUCAAAAUAUCAUAUUUGCCCAGCUUAAUUUCUCAAUAUCAUAUUUACCCUUCAUAAACCUUCAAAAUAUCAUAUUUGUCCAAAUCCUUUUUUAUAAUGUUUUUAAUAUUUUAUAAUCAUUCUUUAUACCUUAGAAUUAUUAUAAUAAUUAAAAAUAUUAACCAUAUUAUCUUUAUGUCUGUGAUAAUGGAAUGUGAACUUCUAAAUUGUUGGAAUGUCGCCCUCUUGACAAACAAAAAUAUUCAUCUUCAACCCUCUAUAUGGAAUAUAUAUUUUGAUUGUCUAGUUUUUGUUGUUGUUGAUUAUAAUUAUGUUGUAGAUAGAGGUUAUUUUAGAUAUUACCAUUGAUAUUUUGAUGUUUAAAAUGUACAUAUACGAUAUUUUGAUAUUUAAGAAGGGUAUAUAUGAUAUUUUAAUAUUUAAAAAGGACAUAUAUGAUAUUUUGAAAUUUUAUGAAGGGUAAAUAUGAUAUUUAGAAAUUUUAUAAAGGGUAAAUAUGAUAUUUUUAUGUUUAGGAAGGGCAUAUAUGAAAUUCUCCCUAUAAAUUAAGUUAUGACAUAAAUCUUUCAAAAGAAUUAACAAAUUAUUUGCAUAUGCAAACUCAUAAAGCUUCUUCAUGCUUCCUUAUCGGUGGCGUCCAACCUCUGCACCUCACUCAUUCUUUUCCACUCGAAAGUCAAAACAAAUGAAGAUUAGGGCAAACCAGACACCAAAAGGGGAUGCAAAAUAAAGGAUGAAUCGACUGAUUCCUGCCGAUGUCGACAAUGUAAUUGGAAGCAUAACAGUGUUCAACUUUCAUUUGAGAUAUCUAGACUUUUUUAUAUAACACCACAAAGGUAAUAAGCUAGACAGAUACCCUCCAUUUAGAAUCCCAUGGUAGAUAACCUCAUUGACAGACAUGUGAGCAUCAUCUUUGUCCUAGCUAUGUGGGUGGAAAGGGAUAUUUGGUCCUCGGGUGAUCUCAACAGCAAUAAUGGCAACCAACUGUAUGAAAAAAAGAGAUAAUUAGAAACCAAAUUUGCAAAAAAGAUCACUUCCGGUUCGGAUUUAUAAAAAAUGUAAGUAGAAAUUAGAAAUUCGAUUUUGCUUUAUAGCCCUAACUGACACUUCGACAUCAAAUCAGCGAGCAUACAAAGUCAAAACAAAUGAAGAUUAGGGCAAACCAGACACCAAAAGGGGAUGCAAAAUAAAGGAUGAAUCGACUGAUUCCUGCCGAUGUCGACAAUGUAAUUGGAAGCAUAACAGUGUUCAACUUUCAUUUGAGAUAUCUAGACUUUUUAUAUAACACCACAAAGGUAAUAAGCUAGACAGAUACCUUCCAUUUAGAAUCCCAUGGUAGAUAACCUCAUUGACAGACAUGUGAGCAUCAUCUUUGUCCUGGCUAUGUGGGUGGAAAGGGAUAUUUUGUCCUUGGGUGAUCUCAACAGCAACAAUGGCAACCAACUGUAUGAAAAAAAAAAGAUAAUUAGAAACCGAAUUUGCAAAAAAGAUCACUUUCGGUUCGGAUUUAUAAAAAAUGUAAGUAGAAAUUAGAAAUUCGAUUUUGCUUUAUAGCCCUAACUGACACUUCGACAUCAAAUCAGCGAGCAUACAACUUCAUUACAGAGAAAUUUCAAUUAACUAACCUUUUUGACCAUCGAAGAUGAGGAGAGAAUUGGGAAUCUUGAAGAUGAACAACUGAAUUCAACAAUAACAGUCGAGCUGACCAAAGGCAAUAUGUCUGUGUGUGUGGGGUUCCAGGAAAAGCCGAUGAAGUUCAUGAUGAAUAAACAAAAAUCAAAUGAAAAGCAAAAUCAAAAUGAAGACCUAUAUUGAUUACCUUAGGGGUCCAACAAACGAAAAUCAAAAUCAAAUGAAGACCCAAAAGUGGAAAAGACGAUACAUGCUUAACAUGAAGGUGGGUAAGGGGAUAAUGAUUCCGGCAACUAAAGCGGCGAAGGUGACCAAAGGUGACUGUCACAACGAGGGAAAUCGGUUGAACACAUGCCGACAUGCGGUGGGGGUAUAUGCUUAUGCGUCAACAGGGGCGAUGCUGGUGGUGAAAGUCGGUGGAAGAGAUGAUGAAUAAGAGAAGAGACUGGAAGGAUGAAGACAAUGAGGUCAAUGGCGGUGGAUAGAAUCGGUGAGUGAAAGAUAGAAGUUCAGGUGGAAGAUAGAUAAAAACAAUCGGUAAUGAAGAAUAACCGGUGGAACCAUGAGAUCGGAAAAAAUACCAGCAAUCCGAAAGUGAUUGGGUGGGAAAACGGUGAAGACAACAGGCGUCUAACACGUAGCAACAAAAAUCGAGCAAAUGACAGAAAGUGCCCAAAAAACAAAGACGGAAAAAGAAAUCCAAAAAUAAACAUGUAUAUAUAAAGGAAAGACUAUUUUUUACAAAUUCUUAGCCACUUUACUGUAGCUAAGGUAAAAUAAUUUUAAUAUAUANNNNNNNNNNNNNNNNNNNNNNNNNNNNNNNNNNNNNNNNNNNNNNNNNNNNNNNNNNNNNNNNNNNNNNNACUUUUGAAAACUACUAUGUAAAAAACUCCAGGUAACUAUAUGUAUUCCAUAUUUGUAGUGAUUAAAUAAUAAGGCAUUUUCCUCCUUUUAAAUUUCAUUUUUUCAUAAUAAACUAAAAUAUCUAGAGAUUACUUAUUUGGUAAAUUAAAUAUGAGAUUUUCUAAUAUCCUCACAUAUAAGAAAAAUAUUAAUUAUACGAAAUAUUAUCCUAACUAAAAUCAAAUGCAUUAAUUGUAAUUAAUACUUCUGAUUGAAAAAUAUAAAAUACAUUAAUUACAAGAAAAUAUUCGCAUUUCAUUUUUAAUAUUUAAACCGUAUAUAUCAAUAAUAUUGUAACCAUAGCAAAAAAGUAAUUAUUAUUAUGGGAGAUCAAGUAAUGGAUGAUAGAAUACAUGAAGUAAACAAUUAACAGAAUACAAUUGUCCUGAAUAUGAAGCCGUCAAUGCUUGCGUUGUACAACUUUGAAACGCAUAAAUUAAUUCCAUGUUCCAAGCACCCGAACCCUAACAUCGAAGUAGCACUUCCUUGAUCAAGUUGUCUAUGUUCAACCAAGAUGACAUGGAUUCAGCCUUUUCCUUCCAAACUUCAGCCAUUUUCUUCAUAUCUUUACCUUUUUCUUCAUCCAUUAAAAUAUUCACAAGCUUUUCAACCUGUCUUCUGUCGACAGCACUAUCUAUCUCCAUCCCAAUGCCCCAUUGAUUACAGCUAUACCAACAAUUUGUCUGUUGUUCAGCAAAGAACGGCCAACAAAUCAUCGGAACUCCACUCGAUAUACUCUCCAAGGUGGAGUUCCAUCCACUAUGUGUCAGAAAUCCUCCAAUUGAUGGGUGAUUUAGAACUUUUUCCUGAGGACACCAACUUGCCAACAACCCCCUGCCACUCGUCGCAGCUAGGAACUCCGGUGGCAGCAUGGGGGAGUCUCCGGAGACAAGGUCUGGUCGGAUAACCCACAAAAAAGUCUGAUUACUGUUGGCAAGUCCCCAUGAAAACUCAACUAGUUGCUGGGGUGUCAUCACGGCUAUGCUUCCAAAAUUCACGUAAACAACCGAAUUAGAUUCUUUGGAGUCCAGCCAUUCCAGACAUUCGGCCUCUUCUUUCCAGAGACUUGAACCCAAUAACUCCAAAUCCUUGUUCUUUAAAUUGUUUUCGAGGGUAUGUAAAGGCCCGAUUGAGUACACACGAGGAUAGAUCGAAGAGAGUUCCUUUAACACGUCGUGCUCUAGGUCCUCGAAAGUGUUGAGUAUGAUUGCCGAAGCUCGUUUGGCUCUUGUGGUUUCUCGAAUAACAUAGUUGACCAUGAUAUCGUCUGGAUCUGUAGUUCUAAGGAAAGUUGGCAUGUCUUUCAAUCGUAUGCCUUUCAUGCUAGGUAUGCAAUCAACGACUGUAUCCAAGUACCCAUUUGUUAAGUCGGCAGAAUCUGCAUGUUUAUAAAAGAAAUUUUAAAAACCAAAAGUAAACUUCCUAAAUGUACUAGCAAUAUAGAAAGAAUUUGUGAAAGUGGUAUUAAGGAGGUAAAUUCAUACGAUGCAUAACCUUUUAGUGGAAUGAAUCCUUUUUCUCUGAGAGUGCUAUAGUGUACAUAGGCCAAAAAACCACAAGCACUAGUUGUCCAAAACAAAACAUCUGGUAUUCCCAAUUCAUCAGCUGCAUCAAGUGUGAAGCUCAUUGAACAAUCAGAAACUAUACAACUCACUGGAGGUGUUGUGGUGGUAUCAUUGAGUUUAAAGAGAAGCUUCUUGAAAGGUUCAAGAGACGUUUCAGAGGUGGACUUGCAUAAAGAGGGAAUGUCUUGGGUGGCAUCUAGGUUUUCCGGUGGCGGAAGGCCAUCAGGAAUGGUCUCAAAUUUGAAGGAAUUGUGGUGGCUGAGGGUGGCUGAGCCCUGUGACCUGAGGAAGCGUUGGUGGUUGAAUUCGGUGUUGACGAAGGUGAUAUGGAAGCCUUUGGAAUGGAGGAUCUUGGCUAAUUUUAGCAUGGGAUUGAUGUGGCCUUGUGCUGGAAAGGGUAUGCACACUGCAUGAGGUUUAACAAUGGAUCCCAUGAUUGUAUGUUUGAAAUGUUUCUUGUCUGGACACUUUGUGUUUAAGGUGCCUUGUAUGGGUUUUAUAGGAUGAAAAGACAAAAUCGAUUUGCAUCACCGAAAACUGAACUUUAUAGCAUUAACUUAUAUAGUUUAAAUUAUUCAACUUUGGUCAAAGUCAUAUAUCCCCAUCGUCUCGACUAUAAUAUAGCUGAUAAAGUAUCCAGACUCCAGAGUCAAACAAGAUUUGCCAUCUAAACUCUAAAUAGCUCUACCAUCGUUGCAACUUGCAAUAUAUCAUUGGACCUUUUUUCGCAAUAGAAGGCAGAAUCGGUACUUUCGAGAAGGCGAACUCUGCUACGUGGUAAAUACAGCAUUGUCAAUGUACCUGAAUGUGUAUUUAUUCACUGGCCAGUAAUUAAUAGAAGAGUAGUCAGCUCACUAAUUUGGUUUUUUAGAGAAUGAGUUUGUGACGGCCGUAAACUACAUGGACAAUUUAUGUAAUUUUUUCUAAAUUUUAUAUUUGUGAGUAUAUGGUUUUGAGUCAUUUUCAACUUUAUAACAUGUUAUUUUCAUAUAUAAAUUUUCUAGUAUAUAUAUAUAUAUAUAUAUAUAUAUAUAUAUAUAUAUAUGUGUGUGUGUGUGUGUGUGUGUGCUAGCUGUAUUGUGUGGUCUCUCUCUGUCUAGCCUGUAUUGUUUGUUUCUCAUCAUAGUAUCUAUUGUUUGUUUGUUAUUGACUCAUGUAUGAACUGACUCAUUGUAUGUUUNCAUAUGGUAAAAUAAUUAUUAGAUUUUAUUAUUAAUUAUUAUGUAAUAAUUAUUUAACCUUUCUUAAUAAAAUAUUUAUUUUAUACCUUGUAUUUAUAUUCUUUGUUUAUACUAUUAAUGUAAAUUAAUUAAUAUUUGUGUCUAAUUUAAGAAAUGUAAAUAAAUUUAUAUAUAUGAAUUUAAUAUUUUAAAAGUUUCAUUUUUUCGAAAUUACAUUUCUUAAUUACUUUCUUUAAUUCAAAUAUUCAAAUUUUUGGCAAGUAUUAAUGAUCCAUUUAUGCAUAAUUGAAUUGUACACAAAGCUUUCUAACUUAUAUCUCUUAAAAUUCAAGAUAUGACUAAUAUACUUUAUGUAUAUACUAGACGUGUGCCCGUGCAAAGCGGCGGCAUUAAAUAAUUUUUUUGGCGAAUAGUUUCUUAUGGAGAAAUAAUUAUGAAAUUUUAUUAUUAGUUAUUAUAUAAUAAAUAAAUUUUCAGUUUUAAAUAAAAUAUUUAUGUUUAUAUCUAAUAUUUAUAUUGUGUAUUUAUAUUAUUGAUACGAAUUAAUUAAUGUUUGUGUCUAAUUUAAGAAAUGUAAAUUGAUUUAUAUACAUGAAUUUAAUAUUUUAAAAUUUUUAUUUUUCUCCAAAUUCAAUUUUUAAUAAAAUUUCUUAAAUCAAGUCUUCAAACUUUUGGCAAGUAUUAAUGAAUUACUUAUUUACAAGUGAUUUACAAAAAGUUUUGUAACUUAUACAUCUUAAAAUUNNNNNNNNNNNNNNNNNNNNNNNNNNNNNNNNNNNNNNNNNNNNNNNNNNNNNNNNNNNNNNNNNNNNNNNNNNNNNNNNNNNNNNNNNNNNNNNNNNNNNNNNNNNNNNNNNNNNNUAUAUAUAUACUAGCCUUUUACCCGCGUCAAACAAUAGGUUCGAAUAGUUUUUUAAAAUUAAUUUUUACAAACAAUUAGUUCUUUUAUUUAUAAUAAAUUGAAAUUGUAGUCAAAUUGUUUUGAAAUACUUAAGUUAAGUGGUUAAUGGAUCAACUUCAUACAUUUAUUAUUUUUAAAAUACAAUUUAAUUAAAAAUGGUUAAAAACAUCUUUAAUGGUAGCUUUUUUUGGAGCUUAUUACUAUUAACUUAUUUAUAUUGACCAGUUAUUACCAUUGAAGUGUAAAGCUUUUGUGUUUAUUUUUACUGACCACUCAAUAUAUAUUGAGUGGUCAAUAUAGUUUAAUCCUUUGUACAAAUUACCCCUUUAUCUUCUAACUAUAUUUUAUCUUUAACUAGGUGAGUGACCCCGCGUUGCGGGGUCAAACGUGAGAUUUUUUUGGGAUUAGAUAUGCCAAAGUAAACCAAUGCCUCAUAUCACCCAUCAUUUAAGAGGUAACAUACAAAGUAAAUUAUCACUAUGAAGAUUUUAGUUGGUGUUGUUAGAAUAUGUUCAACAUGGCCUCAAACCUCUGUGCUAAUCUUCAACUCAACAUGUGGUGCAGCCUUUCCAACACAAAUACAACACAAAUACUUUCUUCUUGUUCAAUUGUUAUUUGCUUUGUAGGGUCAUUAAGUGUCAUAAAAGUUAGAGACGAACAACCCUUAGUCAUCCCUUGAAAACAAAAGGACGUAACUAUCCUCCUCAUACAUACACUUCAUUUAAAAAGAACUAAAAGUAAAUAUAAACCAACCAUAAGCUGAGAAAAGCACAGCUCUAGAGAAAACAUUUGUUGCUACUUUAAUUAGCUUAGCUGAAAGGCUUCCACCACCAUUCAAAAUCUUCUUCACCAUUAAUAACUCUUUAGCCUUCCUGGAAAUGGUCCAUGUUUAAAAAUAUUGUAUAAGUUGCGGUUUUAACAAAAUUAACAUAUAUGGUCCCUGUAUAAAAAAUGAAAAAGUUGUCAAAAUGUCCAAAUGAGAAAAAUACAUGGUUGAAAUGACAAAAGAAGCAAAAAAGGUCAACAUAAGCCUAUAAAAUUUACCAUAUCAUUUAAUGGUAAAAUGGUCAUUUAGUCUACUAACACUUUAUUUUGGCAGGUGUUAUUAUGUAUUCAGUCAGUUUACUUUACACAUAGAGGACUUAAUAGGAAGAAAAGAAAAAUACAUUAAGGGUAGUAUUUUAAAAUCACCAAAUACCUGAUUACCAUGUGCUGAAAUCAAUUGCAUUUUGAUCAUUUCUAACUUAUUAUAUGAAGUCCCAUUUCUAGAGCUCUCAUCCUUCUGCAAUUCUUCUUUUGAAUUCUCUCUAACAAACGCAAGUCUCAAAAGGCCAGGCCAAUCCAUGUGGUUUAUAGGAACCUCUGAUACAAACUGAAGAAAAAAAAAGUUGAAAUAUUAUAUGGAGUCACAACAACACUUUAUAGUAAAUAAUGCUUACAUCUGCCAGCUGUUGCAAAAUCUAUUGGAUGGGACAAACACAUGGUUUCCAAUUUUGCCCGAUCACCAAGGGACACAUCAGAAUUUUCAUCACCAUCAUCCAAAACUGAAACCCAAUCCCGCAAACAUAUAAGCAUGCUCAAGAAAAUAAAAGAAGAGAAAUAAAAUCAAUGAAGUUAUCAGUUUUCACCUUUCCAUAGAUGUCACUCUCAUCAUCUUCAAAAUCACUAUCUUCAUCCUCAAAAUCAGAAUCGUCGUCUGAUUAAUCUAUUGACUCCAUCUCAUUUACAACUUUUGUGGUGUCUACACCUAUUAAGUCUUGCUGCAUUGACUUAGUUUGUUAAUUGAUUUUUUUUAAUUCGCACAAAAGUUCACUACAACAACAAAUCAUGUUUCUUAAUCUUACCACAAGGUUAUCCCCAGAAGCAACAGCUUGCAGAAAAUCUUCAAUAAUUUCAUGUUUCACGUGGUUUCCACAUUUAUGAAGAAAUGUGAGCAAUUUCUGUAAAAUUAGAGAAGAUCAAGUAUGAUGAGCAUAAGAAGAAAAGUGAGCAAUUUCUGAUGGGGUAAGAAAGGAAAGGCCUUAAGUGAACCAUUAAAGCCAAGACUCAUCUCGAGGUAAGUAUGUAAAUGUGCAUCUUAUUCUCAUGAAACUUCAAAAUAGUCAUCACACAAUCAACCAUUGAAAAUCAGAAAAAUUACCUCUACGGUUUAACAAACAACCUUAGCCUCUUCUCAAAUUUGUCAGUUUUCUGUAUCUGCGUGUGGUGGUUGUUGGCGACCAACAUAUGACAGGGACUGUGCAAGAGAUGGAAAAUUCGACGAUUUGGUGGAGGUGUGUAUGUGUAAACCCCUAAUUGCUACAUCCAUGAGUUUGAAUAAAAAUUUCAGAAAGUAAGGGAGAACGGAUGAUGGUAAACACAGUUGAAAUCGUGAUAACUGCUGAUAGGUAACAACUUUAUUAGGUUCUUUUGCACCGGUGACAAAGCCCCACAGCUAUUUGCUCGCUACAGAAACCGCUAAUCAAUGAUGCUGGGAAAUCGAUCUGGAUUUGCUGCUCAUAAGCCUGAUAAAGUGGUGGUCGAAGCGGAUCUAGAGAUGGUGGUGGUGGCGGCGACCGAUGUGGUGCUUCUAGGGCUUGUGGGGGCCGACGAAUCUAAAACCCACUUUCUAGGGUAGGAGUUGGUGGAGGUAAGAAGAAGAAGAGACGGUCGUUAAUGGAGAUUUUUUGAGCGGAGGAAGGAGGUGGUAUGAGGCAGUGGGUUUCUAGCGCUAGUAGAGUAUACCGAGGAAUAAACAGAGUUCGACACAUAAACAUCAAAUACAGAAAGCGAAACCUGAUUGGUCAAUAAAAAGAUGAAGCAAAUCCAAAACGACACGUGUAUACAAAGCGAAACCUGAUUGGUCAAUAAAAAGAUGAAGCAAAUCCAAAACGACACAUGUAUACAAAGGAAUUUACAAUCAAAUCCAAUCAUAUAUAUACAAAAACUUUAAAUGAAAUAAAUCUUUGUGAAACUUUAAAUAAAAUAAAUUCAUGUGAAAGAUAUCAUGAUAGAACUUCCAACAACUUUACCAAGACGUCUUCAAGAUAAAAUUCCCCACCAUGGUCAGCAUCGUCUAUCUCCUAAGCUUAAAAAUAUUUUCCAUGAUGUACGGUAACAAAGAACCAACAUCAACCAUAAACAAAAUACUUGAAUGUAAUUUACUUUUGGAUGUCAGCUCACAAAUGCAAUCUACAACUAACAUAGGAUGAAUAUUACAUGGCCUUGAUAAGAAAAAAAGGACUACAUUACUACUUGUUGCCUUUAGUCUUUUUAAAUUGAAAAUAAUUAAGUUGACAUUCAAUAUUAUUGUAGUUAUUAAUCUUUUUACUUAUAUAAAAAUGCACUUUUAUACCCACAAUAACAAUAUACAUUUUACCCCUAAUAGCAAUACACUAAAAAUUAUGUAGAGUAAAACAGUUGUCAUAAAAAAGAAAAGGGCUAACUACUGGAAAUAGCAAUGCACUAUACUACAUACCUAUUUUAGUAAUACACUUCACAUUUCAAUCCUUAAAAGAUUCCCAUUUGUUUACCCCUUUGCCUUUUAGGAGUACAACUUAACUGUUGCUACAAUCAAAUAUUCAGGCACUCCACAUAAAUUACAAUUAAAUAUGCUUAUUAUACAAUCGUUUAAGGUAAAUAAAAAAGAGAAGUUUACUCACUAAUAAUAGAGACCUGUAAUGGAGGUCAAACCACUUUUUGUCCUCUUCCCUUCCCAGUGAUAAAAUCCAACCCAUGCACCUUUACUUUGCCUCCUUAUAGCAUCAAACAAGCCACAAUAAUUGUGUUUUAUAAAUAUAUGUAGAUUUAUAAGUAACAAAAUCAGGACAAUUAUGUAAACCUUUAACAUUUAAGAAAAAUAAAUACAAAUUGUAAUGCCCGCAGAUUCGAGCUGGUCAAUUUAGAGACAAUAAACGUCAAAAAUGACUUUUUGAUAAAAUAUUAUUUAGAAUAAAUAAUCUUAACUAAGUUAUAGUAUAUGUCACAAGGGUUCCGUACAUAUAAAGAACGCUGAAAUCCGUACAUAUAAAGAACGGCUAAACUGACACGACACCACGUAACGUAAAAAGUGAAUUUUUGAUAAAUUAUUUUUUAGCCUUAGGAAUCUAAACAAAAGUCAUAUUAUAUGUUAAACCGAGAACGUACAUAAAAAGAACGUCCAAAUCUGACUUCGCAUGAUGAAGUUAUGAUUUUUCUAAGAUUUAGCAUAACAGUGCACAAUCCAUAAUUCGAAUUUUAGAUCGAUUUAUUUUUAGCCGACACAACUUAAAUGAGAAUUGAAUAUCUCAUUAAUAGGAGCUCAACGAUAAAAAUACAGUCGAAAACGGAAUCCGUAUGUAGAAGUUAUGAAUUUUACACGGUCGUUAAACAAUAUAAUUUUCUCAUACCAUUAAAUUUAAAAUCGAUCGAGAGUUAGCCAACUGAGUCAAAAGGAGAAUUUUAGAUCUUGUCAAUACCUACGUUUGGAUAUAAAGAACGUAAAAAACGGAGCUCGAAUGCGAAAGUUACAGAAUUUAGAAGUCGGGAUGGGCUGAUGUGAAGUGGGUGACGUGGCGCGAUCUGAGUCAUUGCUUCCUCCCCAUGCCUUGCCACUAGAUGCUGACACCUAGAACCUAACUCAACGAAUUGGAGGCUCAGAACUCCACGAGUUGAGCCAUUUUUCAACCUAUAAAUACAAUACGAGGCUCAUUCAUUUUCCUCACACCUUAACCCUUCUCUCUCUCUCUCUCUCUCUCUCUCUCUAAACCUCCCCCAACCUCUAGUACUUCCCAAGUGCUAAGAGACGAGUCCCAGAGUGCCAGAAGUCUCUGAGAAGAAGUGCUUUCGUCUCGAAAGUUCUACUCCUGCAGAGCCCGGUCGGUUCCUAGCCAAACCUUCCGGUAAGUGAGUUAUGUGCACCCUACUUUAAGUAUAGAUUAUGUUUAAGUUCAAUAUCGUUAUUAUGAACUUAUAAACUAUAUAUAUAUAUAUAUAUAUAUAAUAUACAAAGUGUUAUUAUAAUAUGUUUUAACUACUCGCGGUACGAGGAAUCUGGUUUAAGGGGCCACAUAUGGUUGUUGGAUUCAGAAGUGCUAUAAUGCCAAAAUGGUCCUACCUCAAGUGUUUCAUGUAUGGCCCCUGUCUGUACAUAGUAGUUGAAAAGUAUUGUUUAACAUUUAUAAAACAAUGUCGCUCGUAAAUAGUCGCAAUAAAUAUUAUACUAAAAUCUAGUGGUAAUGAUACUAGGUUUCGUCGAUGGAAAAUAGAAUUGUUAGAAGCGAAGCGUUGAUCGAGUUUGGAAUCAUCACUUUAACAAGUGAGUGCAUAGUUACUUUCAUCUUACACAUAGAUAUGAAGUAUUUAAUAUAAAUUACAUGCUAUGUGUGUAUAUUAUCUGUGUUCUUGAUAUCUAUGUUGGAUGAACAAAAUAUACAUGUUUUAUUUGAUUUAAAUUGUAUAUGUAUUUUAUACCUAUAAAAAUAUUAGGUAAAGAUGGGUAUAUGAAUGAUGAGAAAUGAAAGAUGAAAUAGAUGAACAUUGAUAGCUAUGGACUUAGUGUCUGAUAGAUAAACUAUGACAUCUACGGACUUAGUGCCAAACAGAUAAACCCCGGCAACUAUGGACUUAGUGCCUUACAAAUGAACAUUGACAGCUAUGGACUUAGUGACAUACAAAUGAACGUUGGUAGCUAUGGAUUUAGUGCCCAACAAAUUGAUAUUAGCAGCUAUGGACUUAGUGCCUAACAGAUAACAUCGACCGUUAUGAACUUAGUGCUUGUUGGAUGAACCCUAGCAACGAUGGACUUCGUGCCUAUUCCUUAGGACGACCCUUAGAAAUGAACGAAUGAUGAAUAGAUAAUUUAUAGGGUAUACCCUUAAGAAUAAAGAAGAUAAUGGGGAUGGGAAGUUGGGUUAAUUGUUUAACGAUUAAACAUAAUAAUUAUAUUAUUAUGGGUUGAAAACCCUAUGUACUCACCAGGUUUCCCAACCUGACCCACUCAGUUUAUUUGUAUCACAGGUGUCGAUACGAAACUACAUUACACUAAGAGAUUAAAGGAAAUGUAAAUCACUAGUGUAAAUGAAUGUAAGGUUUGUUUAUGCUUAUGUUUCUGUAUUGACGAUAACAUCCCAAAGUUUUAAUAUAAACAAAAUACAUUUCUUCGAAAAUGCUUUGAUAAUAUAUUUAUCAUGUUUUUCUGGGAACAAAUUCCGCUAUAUUAUUCUUUAAAAAGGAUACCCUGAUUUUCAAAUAAGCAUAAAUAAAUUUUUAAAAAUGACCAUGGAUUUGGGGAUGUCACAGUUGGUAUCAAAGCAUUAGUUUAUGCGAACUAGGAAUUUUAGGAAAUUUCUAGACUUAAACUUAGAAUGUUAAGCGAUGAUCAUGAGGAGUGUGUCUAAUAUAUUUUAGAUAGUACACCUGAAUAGAUACAAACACUAUCUUAUUUAGGGGAGAUGCCAAACUUGCUUUAUGUGAUAAAUGAUUUGUGAUGCUUUAUGAUGCCAUUAUUUGAUUGGAUCUAUGGUCUGUUGCCGACCGGAUCUAGAAAUUUUAUGUGUUUAGAUUUCUAAACGUUUAGUUACGGUAUUAGAACUGGCAUGUAACUUUUCGGAGUGACAAGGAGAUUUAUACGUCUGAUUCCCCUAUCUAAAUUCUCGUCACUGUACACCGAACGUCUGAUUUGGUGUAUAGAUUGAAAUGGUGAGAACUCACAUCGGAUUAGGAAAUGCUAUUGGAAAGCAACAGCCACAAGUGAUUGAGCGUGCACCAGAGGUAGCAGCUGCACCCGAUCCAAUCACGAUGGCAGGAGUCCAAGCAAUGAUUCGGGCUAUGAUGGUCAAAUAGAGGGAGGAGAUUAAGCAAAUGUUGCUUAAUAGGGAUGAACCUAUUGUGCCUAUUGUGCAGCCCGGACUGAAUGAAGAACUAUCAGAGAACGGAAAUUACAGCCAUACUGCGAGUCAAGUUGGACCCCAAGUGGUCAGGAGGAACGACUCCGACAGAAGGAUUGACAGGGAUGGGCAUAUGUAUAAGAACUUCUUGGGUGCCAAACCACCAAGUCUUUAUGGAAGCCCAAAGCCAGUAGAAAUUAUCGACUGGAUCUCCGAGAUGGAAAUGGUAUUUGAAAGUUUCAACUGCAGCUAUAAGUAAAAGACCCUCAAACAUUAAUUUAUCAAAACACAUGUCCCAAAACUGUUUAUAACACAAAUCCAUGAUCCUCAAAAAAACAUAUCCCCAACUCAAGUGUGUCUACAAUCAAGCCGGUGCCCUCUCGUGAUCCUGAGAGGUACCUGAAACACAUAACACAUAACACGGUAAGCACGAAGCUUAGUGAGUUCCCCAAAAUACUAUACACAUCACAUUAGCCACUAGAGGCUAACUCAAUACGACCCUCCAGUCAAUGUGUCUCAGUGGGGACCCUCCGUCCCACAACUUGGGUGGACCCUCCGGUCCUAACUUAAUAAGCUCAUAAUAAUAAUACUCAACAUAAAUCACAAAUACAUAAUGGAGGAUAUCAAAUACUCAAUAUAACACAUAAGACCCUCCGGUCACACAUAAAUACUACUCAUGGUAAGUAUAGUGAGAAGACUCACCUCAUAAUCAAGUAAGUAAUAAUCUCGUACACGAAUCUCAAACUAGCCUCCGCCUAACACAUAAGACAAUAAUUUCUAAUCAACACUUAAGUCAUGAAUCGAAAUAAACUAGGUUAAUCUCUCUCUAAACUCAUGGAAUGGGUAAAAGACCAUUUUACCCCUCCACGGUCCCCACUCUCCCUGCCUUGACCUAACCCUAAAGUCAACUGUCCAUGUUGACCUGACUCGCCGAGUGCAUCUAUGUGACUCGCGAGUCCCCCUUGUUCCUUCAGAACCUCGCGGAAACCCAACUCAACUCGUCAAGUUGACCCGUCAACUCGCUGAGCUACCCAUGUCUAGACUCAUCGGGGAAAACCCUAGUCGACUCGUCGAGUCAGCUCUUUGACUCGCCGAGUCCCUUAAAUGAAAAUCUCAUUCAGACGUUUUAAGGCAGAUCUAUCACUCCAAACUCUAGAUCUAGCCUCCCAAGGGUCAAAUGACACGUAAAGCUUCGAUCUUUACGUUCAUUCAUGGAGUGUUUACUCCAUAAUGCCAAAUAAAAGCUCUAACCAAGGUGUUUAAGCACCAUAGCCCUUUAUGGUUGGAUAAAGCUGGGACCUUUGGACUCUACGGACCUCACAAGGUCCAGAUCUGAUGUCUCAAUGCUUGGCAAGCACAAGUCAUACCGAAUCUCAAGGAAAUAUGGAAAAAUCCCCAAAAGUUUCUCAUUGGCAAGAUCUAGACAAGAUGAUGAGCAAGGUGACGACUUUUACCUUCCAACAGAAGCUCCAAGUAAAUGAUUAUUGGAUCUCACAGCCUUUUCCUCGUUCCUUGCUUGAAUCUCCCUUCUUCUUCUUCCAAUGCUUCACCAAAACACUCAAUAUAAGCUCUAACACACUCUCUCUCUUAGCUUAAAGGCUGAUUAGGGUUUCACUCAGGGGAAUAGGGUAACUGGUGAGGAAAAAAUGAGGACAUAAGUUUCCUUAAAUAGGCCCUAAACCCGAGGAUUUAGGGUUUCACCUCACAACACCUACUCGGCGAGUCAGCUCUCUGACUCAUCGAGUCGAUCAUUAAACCCAUGUGGUCUAAUCGGACUCUACUCGAUGAGUUAGGCUCACAACUCGUCGAGCCACACAUAAAGUCUCAAUAAUAAAUAAAUAAAUAAAUACCUGAGAUUCUGGAUGUUACAUUAAUGCUUAGAUCUCUUUACAACUUGAUUUGUUAUGCUUUUGGUCCCUUUUUAUGUUGAUGGAUGAGUUUAUUAGGAGUUCCUUGAGCAUAAAGGUGCCAACUUUAUGGGGUAUUGGGUCUCAUGCAUGCAUUAAGUCACCCAUUAAGUCCUUUUUAAGCAUAAGAGCUUCAUUUAGACAUGCAUGAACAUAAAGUUAGCAACUUUGCGUGAUAAUCCAACUCGAGGAUAUCAGAUCUACGUUCUUGAGUAAUGUCUCAAGGAAUUAAGGGCUAAAUAUGAAGGAUGGAUGAACAGGAGGAGUAUGUUGGGUGUACAAGCCAGUACGUACAAUGUACAUGCCCCAAAGCAUGUACUCUCAGCGUACAACUGAGUACACCCCACGUGCUCAAUCUGUUGGGCUUCACAUCUUGGGCUUUAAGUUUAGGCCAUUCUAUUGGGCUUAGAUGCUUGGGGUCUUGUUGGGCCAUCUGAAUGCAAGUGUUUAGACUAGGAAAAAUUGGUGGGCCUUGGGGUAAGGCCCAUAUAAGGGUUUGGGCCCAAAUUGGAAAAUUGGGCCAUGUUUGGGCCUUUUGGAUUAUAGGUUUUAGCCUAAGUUUUGGUCCAAACUAGGUAAGGGGUAAAUUGGUCAUUUACCCUAAUUUUGGUCUGAUAGUUAUGGAUUGGAAUCCAAUUGUUAAUUGGAUGUUAUUUGAUACUGAUAACUCGGGGAUUUGUCGGACCAACAGCGAGGGAGUUAUCAGUAUGAUUCAACAGUGUGAGGUGAGUCUUCUUCCGGUGCUCAUGAGUCGAAGGCACCAAUGUCGGCUCACUAAAUUAUAUAUGUAGGAUGCUAGCUAUCUUUGUGACUCUUGCAUUUUUGUAUGAGCCUGUGUGGUAGAAUAGUUGUAUCUGUGAUGACUAGUUGGGUCUAGCUGUUAUAAUUAUGUUAUGUUGUUUAUAUGUGACUGAGACUGCUAAUAGUCUCAAGGGUUGCUGAUAACCCAUCGGGCGUGCUGUUAGCCCACUGGGACUGCUGGUAGUUCCCAGGGUUGCUGAUAACCCACAAUUGUUUAUUUAUGUUGUGUUGUGUGUGGUAUUUUAGUGUAACGCCCCGAACCUUGCAGGUAUAUCUUGAAAGCCUUUCUUCCUUUAUUAGUUGUCAUUGUUGGUCCCUGGAGUUGGUGGUCUUGGGUCGCGAGAAGUAUAAGGACUAAAGUUGCAACUUUGGGACUAGAAGUAGUACGCUGAGCGUACAUAAGGGUACGUUAAGCAUACUAGGCGUACUUAUGUCCAAUGAAAACUCUAAUAUCCGGUGUUGAGGACUAUAUAAACACCCUUAUGGCUCAUUCCUUUGCUCAUUCUCAGCCUCCAUCCCUCAGAAAACGUCCCAAACCCUUGAGUGUGUGAAGAAGUGUGAGUUAGUGUGCAUUUUGAACCGUGGAAGUGAAAACAUUGCUCCAAGGAGCUAGAAGAGGAGAGCAAGGCUAUAGAUGUGAAGUUGUGUUGUGCCAUUAAAGCUCCAGAAUGUAAAAAGAUUGAAACUUUGUGCUUGCUUGUUUAUAGAUCUAGAUUUAACCUUAUGGGGUCUUAUUGUCCCAAGAGUCCCAAGAAGAUGCAUGUGAUGUCUUAGACGAAAUAAGUUGUCCUUUCAGACCUUAGGAGAGGUCCUAAGUGCUAAAAAUCAGUUCCCAAAGGCUAGACUUGUCCCAUGCAUGAAGUAAGAAGGUCUUACUGGGUUAAGACCAUGAGUUAAGGACUUUCUAUACGUCCAAAGUGAUAAAGUCCUGAACUUUAUGGUCCCAAGGCGUAUUUGUUCUAUGGAUCUGGGAUAUGGGCUUAAGUGCUUAAGCCAUUAAGCACUUAUUAGGAUUUUAGUAAAACCCCGCGUACGCCUGGCGUAAGUUUUGUACGCCCAGCGUACGAGGUCAACUAUCCCGAUGACAAUCAGCGUAGAACGACAUUACGCCCAGCGUAACCAGGGAGGUACGCCCCGCGUACGCUCUUUGAUUGGGCUCUUGUCAUAUGGGCUUAGGGUUUGUAGGCUAAAUAGAUUUGGGCCUUGUUGGACUUUGCAAUAGCAUAUUUUGGGCCAGGUUAUGUUAGUGGAUCAUGGAGAUAGGCCCAAUAAGGAGGUUGGGCCCAAUUUGGUAAAUUGGGCUAAUAAAGGACUUUAGUGUAUGGACCUUCAAGAUAAGGACUUGGUGUUGGGCCUUGGCCCAACAAAAAGGAAUGGACUUUAGAAUUAUAUGGACACUUAGUCAAGGGACUAAUGUCGGGUAAUAACCUAGUAUUUAUUAUGUGUGUCAGCUAGGGAUUUCCCGUGAGGCAGCGGUUAGAAGUUCAGCAUUUCGGCACUACUAGUCAGGUGAGUUUUCCUCACUAUACUCAAGGGUCUAAGGCACCAAGGCCGGCCCUUCGAAUUGUUAUUGGUUAUGUUAUUCUCGUAUGAUCUGUUAGAUCGGUAUGCUAGAGGGUAGAAUGAUAAUAUGUGAUAUGUGUUAUGACCUGUUAGUUAGAUAUCCUAGAGGGUAGGAUAAUAUUAUAUGUUAUGUGGUAUGAUCCGGUAGAUCAGAGCUCGGGAUGAUUGCAGAGCACACACCUCCUUGUUCCGCAUUUUCUUAACUUACUCUGAUAUGAUGUGAUGAUUGACACAUUUGUUUUAUCUAGAUUCUUAUGAUGAUGUUUCUGGAAUACUGGUUUUAUUAAUUUAAAAAGAAAUUUUUGGGUCUUAUUUUUAGGAUGUUACACCCUCAAUGGUCAAACUUUGUCAAAGUCAACUGGUCAAAUCCACUAAGUCAACUGAGUCAACCCGGCCGAGUCAACUCAUCCGGGCUGACCCACUGCGAGUAUGUAGGGCGUACUCCGGAGGUACGUUGAGCAUACUCCAACCCUCAUAGUUGACCACCAUCGGGGUGGUGACCUCGUACGUAGGGUGUACUAUGAGUAUGCAAGGCGUACCAUUGCAUCCUUCAAAACUCAACGAGUGCUUAACGACUUAAAGCACUUAUGUCGAUAUUUCAGAUCUACGACUCAAAUACACUCUAAAUUCAUAAAAGUUACCAACUUUAUGACUUUACAUGCCCAUUAAGUGCUUAACUUAAGGUCUUAAUUCAUUAAGGCCUUCUACAAGAUGCAUGGAGCAAAACUAACCAUUAAGACUUCAUUUUUAUGACUUAGGACCCCUCUUAGGGUCUGAAAGGACAACACAAUUUGUCAAGAACAUGCCAUACUCAAGAUAAGACAUUUGGGACCAAAAAGUAUCACUAAAACACCUAUUUCUAGAUCUGCAAGAUUAAAAGAUCAAGAUGCAAGCUUUAUACCUUUGAAGGGUUACAAAUGAAGAGUAAAUCCCAAAUCUAAAGUGCUUCACUCUCCAAAGAUGAUCUUGGCUUCCUUCCUGCUUUUUCUAAGCACAAAAACACACACUUUAAGGCUUGAAAUGGCUUCAUAAGGCGGUUCUAGGGUUACAACAAGAAUGAGAGGGUGGAUGCUGAGAAGGUGGGGGAAAUGAGGCCAUAAGGAUGCUUAAAUACCACCAAAACCCUAAAAAUUUAGGUUUCCACGUUUAGGAAGUACGCCCAACAUACAAUAAUUGUAACGCCCUGUUCUAAAAUAUUCGUUUAUGGAAUUUCAGAGGCCAAGGCCAGGGGCGUUUUAGUCCUUAUUAAAUUUGGAGUUAUUAUUUGAGAAGUUUUCGGGCCGGGUUGUGUUGUUAGAAACGUAGGGUUUCUCGUCACCUUUCCGUGGAUAUAAAGUUCAUCAGAAUCGGAUCUAGAAUGAAGGAGUUAUGACACUUUGAAGAUUUGGAAAGAAUGGCCCUUAUAGAGAAAAGUUUGCAUGGAAGACCAUGCAUGCAUGUUGGGGUACGCGUGGGUACGCCCAACGUAAGCUGGGUUACGCCCAACGUAAUGGGGCAAGUUGGUCGUGGGUGUUCAAGGCGUACGCUCAAAGUCUCAAAACCCUAAUUUUGGGUUAAGCAAUAUAUAAAGGACAUUAUGGUUUCAACCUUAGCCCCCAUAUCAGCCUCCCCAACCUCAGAAGAAACCCUAGAACGUCCCUACCUUCAUUUUAUGAGAUCUUGACCUUGGAGAACCCAUUUUGGUGGAUUAAAGCUUAGAACCAAAGAGAAGAAGGUUGGCAAGGAGGAACCUUUGAAGCUAGAGCUUGUAGAUCUGGGAUAAGUGCUUCAUUUCGGCCUCUGUAAGGUAAAAAGUCUUGAGCUUGAUGAUUAACCUCUUAGAUCUCCUUAGUACAAGUUUAUGGACCUUUUUGGUCCCAAGAUUGACUUUAUGACUUAAGUUCGUUUCUAAGACCAGGGUUGCCUCCCUUAGAGUCAUAUGAGUCCUAUAAGCAGUAAAGUUCCGAUCUUUAUGGUCCCAAUGAGCUCAUGCAUGAGAUCUAGCCUUGGUUUAAGAAGUGUAUGGUCACCUUUUUGAGUUUGAGUGUAUUUGGUGGAUUGCAAGUCUCAAAGUUAGUGACUUUAUGGACUAAGGCAGCAGUAAGGACCUGGAUCUGAGUUAGUAGCCUCUGGAGUGGGGUAUUAAGCACUAAAUGGAAAAGUGCCUUAACAGGAUGGUUACGCCGAGCGUAAGUGAAGGUACGCCCCGCGUACUCGCUAGAAGGCCAGUACACCCAGCGUACUCAGUAGAGUUGGGUUUUGAGCAUUUGGGCCUCGGUGUGGGCUGUGGUUUGGACUAUAGGUCCUUGGGCCUUAGUGGGCCAGCUGAAGUCAGAUUUUGGGGCAAGGGCAGUUGGGCUCAGGAAGGGCCAUAUGUGAAGUAGGCCCAAUUUAGUAUAAUUGGGCCAUUAGUGGGCCUUUAAUGGGCCAUUGAUGGACUUAGAAGAAUUAAAGGUUUUGGGCCUUGGUUAUGACCCACACCAUAGUAGGGGUAAAAUAGUCAUUUUACCCAUCAAAAGAUUCCCCUUUUGAUUUAGUGUUUGACUUGUCAUGAUAGCCUGAGAACAACCGGGGAUCUUUCACUCGAGUUUUCAGCAGUCAGCAUUCUGAGGUGAGUUUCCUUCCAGUAGGAAUGGGUCUAAGGCCACAAUGUCGGCCCGUUUAGUUAGUAGUAGUUUCCAGACUUUGGUCCGAUGCAAUAGUUAGUAUGUUUGAUGCCUUCGUGGCUCAGACAGGAUUUAUGUGUUAUGUGUUCUGAGCUACGGCCCGAUGCAGUAUGCAAUAUAUGUGUGUUCAUGCUAGUUGAUAUGUUUAUGCUAUGCUAUGUUGAGUUAGUUCCGGACUUUGGUCCGAUGCAGUUAGUCCGGACUUCGGUCCGAUGCAGGGGACAAGGUCCCAGUCAGUUUCCAGACUUCGGUCUGAUGCAGGGGGCAAGGCCCCAGUUAGUCCGGACUUCGGUCUGAUGCAGGGGACAAGGUCCCAGUCAGUUUCCGGACUUCGGUCCAAUGUAGGGGGCAAGGCCCCAGUUAGUCCGGACUUCGGUCCGAUGUAGUGGGCAAGGCCCAGUAUGUGCUUUAUAUGUUUGUAUGGUAUGUGGUAGUUUGGGGGAGCUCACUAAGCUUCGUGCUUACGGUUUCAGUUUUUGGUUUCAGGUACUCAGUUUCACAAGAGGAGCUCGGAGAGGUUUCAGUGCACACAUCAUAGUCAGUUAGUCUGGGAUGUUUGAUAUGUGCAUAAUUAGUUCAUAUUAAGUAUACAUUUUUACUCAUUUAUUAGCUAAAUUAUUACAUAUUAUGGACAAAAGGUACUUAAAAGUGUUAAAUUAUGUUUUUUAGUCCAAAGAUGAAGCUCGGAAGCGAAAGGAAGUGGGAGAAACAGUUAGAAGAUCGAGAAUGAAAUCAAGAAGAAAAACAUUAAAAAUGGCACCUACUUGGCGAGUCAGAUCGACUACUCGGCGAGUCCAAUCGAAGAAUCGAGAAGAUAAUGACUCGGGAUCCCAGAGAGUUAUCACAAUACGGGGAAUGUGAGAGGGACUCGACGAGUCACCACUUGACUCGACGAGUCGAUUCGUAUAUUUAAAGAUAAUUCCACAGAUCGAUUGAAGGGAGUUCUGGGACGAUUCAGAAGUACUUUGCUACGAUUGAGAAGCCAGAAAAACCCUAGAAGACGACGAAGGAAGCUAGAAUUCAAUUCCGGAGAGUAAUUAAGGCAAAAUUUCAUCAUUCCACUUAUUCUUUUGUUUAUUCAUCAUGAUUAAGCAACUUGACUUUGUUUGUUUGCUGUUAUUUACUUUAAUUAUGAGCUAAAACCUUUAGACUUCUGUUUGGGGAUACAAAGUUGACAAUAUGGUUUGAUUGAUUGGUAGGAUUAAUUCCAAGUUGGUGAAUUUUUGUUAUUUUAGCUUGCUAAAGAACCUUGUGUGUGAAUAAUAAUUAAUUUUCUGUUAAUAGGAAGAUAAUUGAUUAGCAUGAACAUCUAUUGAUUAUUGACCUCAUAUGCUAUGUGAUCACUAUGCUAUAUGUCUAGGAUUAAUGAAUAUGAAACUAGAAUUAAUAAGAAAAUUGAGUAAAUUCAUGUGCAAGCUUGUAAGAUGACCAUCAAACAAGGAGUUAAUUAAAAGAAUAAAUUAGUUAACUAUUGCAAGUCUAACUUAACCCGAAUAAUUAAUCUAGUGAAUAUAAUUAAAUUAGACAAUUGGCCACUGUUUAAGUUAGUUUAUUUUCUAAGGAUUAGGGUAGUGAACACGAAUCUAAUCACUUGAAUCGGUAACCAACGAAAGAAUUAAUCCAUUGCACCAUUACCUUGAAAUCAACCAUAGAGUUAACCAAGUUGAACUAAACAGAAGUUCCUUUCCAAUUAUUGAAUCUAGUUAAGUCGUUAUUUUCUAGUCUUAAAUUAGUAAUAGUUAGUAAGUUUCUAGUCUUGUAAAACUAGAGAAAACCCCUACUUCUUAAUUAACUUAGAUUAAAUUAGUUUUUAGUUUAAUUUGUCGUUCCCUGUGUUCGAUACCCUGCUUAUUUAGCUAUACCACAAUUGAUAGGUUCACUGCCUUUUGUGUGUUAUUUGAUAAUUAAAAGUAGGUUUAAAACUAAGUGAGUUUACACACAUCAAUGUUUUACUCUGAUAAUAAGUUUACGUUUGAAAAAGUAUACUAUGGAAUUAUGUUAUGACUUAUGAUACGGUUUUUAUAAAUAUGAUUUUAAUAAUGUUUUAAAAAAAAAAUUAGUCGUGAUUUUUGGGUCGUUUCAAUAAUGUACGCCCUAGUACGCUCAGUGUACACCACGUACGCAUGACGUACUUCGAAGCCAUAAUUUACCAAAAUCCCAUUAAGACCCUUUUUGCAUAUAAUUCUUGAACUUUGGGACCAAUUGCAAUAUAAAUAAAUUGAAGGGUUGAAAUUUGAAGUACCUUAACAUCGGGAUGUUACAUGACAUCCGUUUUCGACUGUCUUUAUAUUGUUGAACUCCUAUCAAUGAGAUCUUCAACUCUCGUUUAAAUUAUUUCGGCUAAAAGUCAACCGAUCUAAAAUUCGAUUUCUGAGCUGUAUAAUGCUACACUGAAUCUUAGAAAAAUCAUAAUUUCCUCUAAUGAACUCAGAUUUAUACGUUCUCCAUAUGCACACUCUCGGUUUAAUGACUACUACGAAUUUCGUUUAGAUUGCUAAGGCUAAAAAUUAAUCUAUAUCUGAUUCACUAUUUACGAUAUUUGUAGUUGUAUCGGGUCGAACGCGAAACUUCAACGAAUCGUAACUCAUUCGUUAUAAGUUGGAUUUAAGCAUUCAUUAUGUCUCCGGAAUCCUUGUCACACAUACUAUAACUUGGUUAAGAUUAUUCAUCCUAAAUAAUCUCCUAUUUUAAAAGUUAUUAUUAUGACGUAUGAUAACUUAUUUGCCAAGCCUGAAUUUACGGGUGUUACAAUAUCAGUAACAAAUUCAGGUUUUUUUGUAAACUUCAAACAAACUCGCAUGAUUUAUGAAGAAGACAACUUUAAGGUCUUCAACUCUUCAUGUAUGGUUUUUAAGCCUCCCAAGAACAGGUUGCAUCUUUAUCAUUAAGUAGGCAGAAACAAAAGCUUUGGGGCAAUUUAGUCAAAAAUUUAAGGUAUACUUGCAUCUGUUCUUCAUUCCAUGCUUGGGGGCGAUUUAGUCCAAAAGUUGAGGUCUAAUUGCAUUUGUUAUUCAUUCCCUUCUUGGGGGCAAUUUAGUUAAAAGUUUGAGGUUUAAUUGCAUUAGUUAUUUGUUCCAUGUUAUGCACUCCCCAGUGUUAUGUCUUUAAGAUGACGAUGAUGAUGAAAGAAAGUUGUUUGGACAGAAAGAGUUGAUAACAUAUUGAAUUAUAUGGCUAAAUAAUUAAGAAGGAUAAAUGAUGGAGAGUGAUUAUAAGCUUUUUUUUUUUUUUUAGAAGAUAACUUGUAAACAACCAAGAAUUGGAAUCCAACAUGUGUUCUAACAUCACAAGAAUUAUAGAUUAAACCACCAAAUGAAACAAAAAAAGAUUUUCAUUGUGGGUAAUUAUAAAGUAAUCAAGAAAGAAUCAAGUAACAAAUGAUAUUAAAACACACAAUUAUACAACAACAGAUGUAGGUAACGAUUGCCAUCGAGAAAGAAUAAAAAAUUGAUCAGAAAGUGGUUUUUAUUAUAUAGAGAACUUCAGUCCAGUUGAAAUUAAUACACUUAAGAGAUGCAUGUAAGGAUAGGAGAGAAAGAAAUCAAGAAAUUGUUCAAUUAAUUGAAGAGAUGUCGAUACUUAAGCUAAAAAAAGAAUGGUACCUUACGAUGCUGAAUACUGACGAUGACAAUGAGAUCAUCGACUGCUUGAGAGUUCGAAUGACACUUAAUAUAGAAUCAAUAAUCAAGAAUGAAUUUUUGUGUGCAGUUAGUUGAUUAUGAAGAUUAUAGGAGACGAUGGUAGAUAACGAGAUAUGUGGAGAUGCAAAAUGAGACUCGUACUAAGGGUUAUUUUCGUCAGAUUUUUUUGCGUGGCGACAUGCUCUACUCACCAAAUGGGGCCUAAUAGACCGUGACAAGUUACUAUUUUCAAAUUCAUCUACUUGGGUUGUGGUGACUUGGUAAGGCAUGGAGAAGAUAUGAUGGAUAACUUAUUGACAUAUGUUCAAAUCCCGAUACUACUCGGCCCUUGUGGCCAUGAAAGUUCGUCUGCAGCGAUUUCAGUACAUGAUGCAUAUUCUCAUGUACAAAAUGACCCGAAACAAACACAUAGACACGAAGUUUCUUUUCCAAAAAAAUUCGGGAAAAUGACUUAGGAGGGUAACUACCUUUUAUCCAUGUUCACAUAUUGGCAACUUUUUUUUUUUUUUUUUACAUAAUAAAGCAACUAACUUGUUUUAACUGUUUAAAUUACACCAAUAUUACCGGCUAAAACAGGUAACUCAAAUGGAAAAUGACUUAGGAGGGUAACUACCUCUUAUCCGUGUUCACAUAUUGCCAAAUUCUUAUUUUUUGUACAUAAGAAAGCAACUAACUUGUUUUAACUGUGUAACAUCCCAAAAAUAAUGACCAAAAAUUUCGUUUUUAAUUUAAUACUAAAACCAUAAUUGUCAAACAUUUAUUUAAUACUCCGGCAUCGGGCCCCGCCCAGCAUCAGGCUCCGCCUAGCAUCGAGUCCCGCUCGGUAUACAUAUCUGUCUCUCUUAGGCAGGGGCUGUCUCCGGGCCCCGCCCGCUAAACACAUAUAAUCAUAUAGCACGCUAACACAUAAAGAAACAUACUCUACUGUAUCUCUGUCCUAAGAAACAUACUCUGCUAAUAAUGAGAUACGGAACAUCGUCCGUACUCAGCUAGUGAUGAGAUACGGGACCUCGCCCACACUCACCUCUCUACCAGACACAUACAAGUAUCACACAGACAACAAGUAGAAUCUAACAUGCAAACAUUCCUCGGGCACCCGGCCGACAUCAGACCUUGGUCUGGAAUAACAUACAAGCAUACAAUGUCUAAGGCUAACCCCCGGGUCUUCCUACUCAUAGACUACAUGGGCUGACAUUGUGGCCUUAGACCCAUUCACAUAGUGAGGAGACUCACCUUGCACUGCUGAAGUCUUGGCUGGAACUAGCUGAGUACGGAUAUCUCAUUAUUAGCAGAGUAUGUUUCUUAGGACAUGGAUACAGUAGAGUAUGUUUCUUUAUGUGUUAGCAUGUUAUAUGAUUGCAUGUGUUUAGGGGGCGGGGCCUAAGAGAGACAGAUCUGUAUACCGAUCGGGGCUCGAUGUCAGGCGGGGCCUGAUGCCGGGCGAGGCCUAAUGCCGAAGUAUUAAAUUAAUGGUUUGACAAUAAUGGUUUUAGUAUUAAAUUAAAAACGAAAUUUUUGGUCAUGAUUUUUAGGAUGUUACACAGUUAAAAAAAGUUAGUUGCUUUCUUAUGUACAAAAAAUAAGAAGUUUCUAAUAUGUGAACACGGAUAAGAGGUAGUUACCCUCCUAAAUCAUUUUCCAUUUGAGUUACCGGUUAAAACAUGUAUUAGUCAGUAAUAUUGGUAUAAUUUAAACAGUUAAAACAAGUUAGUUGCUUUAUUAUGUACAAAAAAAAAGAAGUUGCUAAUAUGUGAACACGGAUAAAAAUUCGGUAUCAAUGCACUUGAGAGUUUAAUGAUUUAAUCAACUCCGUAUAACUAUUCAGAUUUGGCCUGUAAAUUGUAAUCCAAUUUUUACAUAGCCCACACGAAUUCUUUUUGGAACGGUGGGAUCCACUAUUGCCACCAAGCCCAAACAAAAGCUUCUUCUCCUCUCCAUUGUCGAUUCUAAAUAUAAUUUCUGUGGAGAACUUCAACACCAGCUGAAACUGGUCCACUGUUGACUCUAAUUUCAUGGAGCUGGAAUUUGAGAUGUAGUUUGGUCUCGUGAUCAGUGUAUCAUCAGGUGAUAACGACUAUGUUCGUCUUUGACAAGGUAAGAUUAUACUUAUGGUCUUGAUAUUCGUGUCUUGAUAUUCGUGUCCAGUGAGUUCCUAUUUAUGUUUACGAAGGUAGUUGAUUUUUGUUAGUUUAUAACCGUUUAAAAAAAAUUAGUUUAUGUAAUUAAAUUAAUUACACAUUAAGGCCUACAGGCCAUUUUUUUCCUGGCCGUCCCGGGCAUUUGAAUCCUGAGAACCGGCCCUGUAUAUAUAUAUANNNNNNNNUAUAUAUAUAUAUAUAUAUGCACAUGUUUGUUUGGCGGUUGAGGCUUAUCUGCUUUGUACGGAGGCCAAUAGACCUGGGCAUUCCAACUUGUUGGUUGUGGGCCGUGAGUAUUCCAUCCUGUGGAUGAUUGGACUCAUAGUAUGUGGCCAUUCCAACCUGUUGGUUGUGGGCCUGGGGUAUUACAUCCCAAUGAUGAUUGGACUCAUAGUAUGUUGGCAUUCCAACAUGUUGGUUGAAGGCCUGGGGUAUUCCAACCCGAUGGUUGACUGGACUCAUAGUAUGCUAUUUAUGAUUAUAUGUUUAUUGUUGUGGGUAUGGAUAUUUUGGGGGAACUCACUAAGCUUUCCGGCUUACAAUUUUAGUUUAUUGUUUCAGGUGUAUCAGGGGAUUGUGGCAAGGUAAAUGCGUGAUCGUACAACUCCUCAUAGUUCAUGAUUUUAUGAUUUGAUUUUGGGGAUACUAUGAUGAUUAAACUAUUUUGAAAACACUGUAAUAACUUAAUGGUUUUAAAUGUUCUAAAAUUUUAAAUUGGCUUGAAUUUUAUGGGUGUUACAGUGGUUUUCAUUGAAAGGAGAUGUUCAAGGGCAUCAGUUCGUCAUUAUUUAUAUUUUUGCUCAAAUGGUUUGCCACUAAGUUCUGCUUGCCACUUUUGUCUCUAAUUUCAAGGUUAAAUUCUCGAAGCAAGAGUACCAUCAAAUCAAUCUCGGCUUUGCAUCCUUCUUCGUUAUUAGUUACUUCAAAGCUACAUGUCAAAAAAUAUGACGAUUUUAGCACUUAACAAAUAUUGCCUAAACUUUUCCAUGGCAAACACAAGGACUAAAAGUUCUUCUACGGUAGGAUAAUUAUGUUGGGCAUGGUCUAUGGUCUUUAGUGCAUAGUAAAUGAUAUGUGGGACCCGAUCCUUUAUUUGCCCCAACACCUUUCCCAUCGCAUGAUUGUUAGCAUCACAUAUUAUUUCAAACUGUAAGUCCCAAUUUGAUGGUCGAAUUAUUGGUGCGGUGACCAACAGUUCCUUCAAGACGUCAAAGGCCUUCUUGCAUGCUUCAUUAAGUAACUUUCGACAUUUUUUUGUAGUAGUUCAUACAUCGAUCGAGUGAUCUUUGAGAAAUCUUUGAUAAAGUUGUUAUAUGAAUUUGUAUGGUCAAGAAAAAGACCAUAGCUCGCAGAUACUAUUAGGAUAAGACAUAUUUAAUGACAUCUAUUUUUGACUCGUCUUUCUUAAAAACUUUUUGAAUAGUGUGAUCGACUUUGUUCCAUCAUAAAAUGACAUUUUUCAUAAUUUAAACGAUAUUUAUUUUAAUACACCUCUAAAAUUUUGUCAAAAUUUCCAAACACUCUUGAAAACAAUUCUCAUACAGAGUGAAAUCGUCAAUAAACACAUUGAUUGUCUCUUCAACAUAAUUUGAGAAAAUGACUGAAUUACCAUUGGUUCGAAAAUCAACAUAUUUGAAGCUGACUAUAAACUUUUAAAUAGAGUUCGAAAAUAAUGAUUUUUGAAAUCGAAUAUGAUUUCUAAAAUCUGAACUUCUGACACAAAGCAUCUUCAAAAAAAUGUGUUUCCAUAUUUUUCGAAUUCAUAUUUGAUUUUUCAAACUAAGAUUUCCAAUAAUCUAAUUUAUCAUAUAAUGUUAAUGUUACGUUGGAAAUUACAUUUUUAAAAAAAAUCGAACACAAUUAUGAUUUUCAAAGUACUUUUAGUGAGAGAUAGUUCAAAAUUUUUAAUCAUUAUAAAAUUUAUUGAAGACACCUCUUUUUAGUAUGUUUAAGGGUGUAGUUUAUGUGAUAUCAAUACACAUUCUAUAUUUUCUCAACUGAGUGAGUGGUUAUCAAAGCUUUCUAAGAUGUGAGAUGUAUUGGGAUGUACACAUAUCCGUUUUCAAAUUUCUCAACUGAGAAAUUAUCAAAACAAUAGGAGUCGUAGAUCUUGGAAGCAAUUGAAGGCCAAUGUUUACAACAUGUCGUAUGAAAUGUUGAAGUCACAAGUAGUGGAAACUCAGGUUUAAUGACAGAGUUAUGCAGACUCAUAUUCGUUCUUACCUAUAAUUUGGCCAACAGUUGAAAUAUGAUAAAUGCCAAGAAACAAUGGGUAACUACUGACUUGACCUAAGCAAAUGGCAAAGAAGAAAAAAACGGUACCAAAGAUUUACGAAUUUAUAUCUACCUCUUCAAUCGAUGCAGACUCCUUUGUAGAUUAAUCUUUUAUGUGAGAUGUCAUCAGCCCAAAAGUAGCUAUCUAUUCUUAAAUUGCAAAGGAAAUUGUUGUAAGUUGUGCACAUUCGUUAUGACUUGUUAGAUUAAACAAUGAUUUCAUAAUUAAAAACCGUAGAUUGUUAAGGAAAAUUUUGAGGAAGUUGCUAACAAAUAACAUGGAUUAAAGGAAAUAAAACCAUUAUAUAAUCAUGACUUUAUAUAAUCUCAUUUUUUUAUUUCUAGAAGGUUUUCAUUACAUAAUACAUUCCCUAUAUAAUUUAUGUCGUCGACCAAGAAGCCUGGUAAUGAUUUUCUAUGCUUUUUUGAUAAUCAUUUAUGUGAAAGAUUAUCAAACAAGAUACAGAAAAAAACAUUAUUGUUUUUUAAGCGUCUUUUAGGUCCUAUGAAUGCAUAGUCAUAUCUUUGCGGAUGGUGGUAGGUUUAGAUGAGACAAUCUCUUGCCAAAAUGCAAUUCUAGCGCCUUGAUUCAGCAAGCAGAUCAAGAACGUGUAGGACUUUUAACUCAUGUUAUGAGCAAGAAUUCGUUCACCUAAAGACCUACUGUCAUAAACAUACAUGUUUUAUUCAUAGGCGUCAUUUCUCGUUUUGAUAAUCUCUCAGGCACAGACAACUUGGAUUAAAAAACAGAAUAAUAAUAAAAUACAAAACAUAGAUUAUUAUUAAUAAAAGGUACAUCUUUUCUAACACGCCCAUCAUUUCAAACAAGUUCUUGUUUUUUGAACAUGUUUUGUUCAUGAUUUUCUAACUUCUUCAAAAUUUCCAUACAAGUUCAUGAUUUUCGUAGACUAAUAAUGUUCAUGAUUUUCGAACGUGUUCAAAUUUUCCGCACAAAAAAUGUUUUCAUACUACCAAAAACAAAGAUUAACGUACAUCUGAUUAUGUAAAACAAAAAAAUCGUAAAACUACAUAUGCUUUUUUCUAUAUUAUUUUAAUGUUCUUAUGUAUUGUGCUUUAAUAUCAAAACCAAGUAACUAGAAAGAAGUGUUUUUUUUUCAACAGUCAAAAAAAUAUAACAGUUUAAUCACUACAGUAAAUAGUUACAUGUUACGUUGCUAAGUCUAUAAUAUAGUGAAUGCACAAAUCUAUUUUGCCUGUUCAUAAACCAUAUAAAUGGAUCAUAAUUGUUUUGAAUUUAAUAGCAAUGUUAAGUUGUAUUCAAGGGCUCAUUCGCAAGCUACUCAAUUUCCAGUUCUUGUUUGUCUGCAAACUCACAGAACUUCUCAUUAAACAAAACCUGUGGAUCUUUAUGAAUUAGGACCCCAUCUUCCCCAUAAGCAUCCUUCAAGAACACAACCCAAUUCAUCUCAGUUCCUGCCAAAUAAAAGCUCCUUGGCUGCUUCAACAGCAUUGCAUAAGUAUGCUUAGUAAGACUUAAUUCCUCUUUAAACUCAACAAUGUGGUGAAUUGAUGCUCUUUUCUCCAAUGUCAAGCUCAAGAACUCAUGAAGAACACCUACCCGAUACUUCUCAGCCUCCAAAGUCCAAAGAUCCAAGCUCGCCCCAUCUGAAUAAGGUGAAACGAGAGGAAGAGUAUUUAACAGAUUCAAUUUCCGUUCAUCAUGUUCGUCUAAAUUCAAUGAUUUUCCGUGUUUUAUCUUGAAUUGAAAAGCUUUCUUGGUUCGAUCUUCAUCAACCAUGAACUGUUGUUCCAAUGAGCUGAUGGCGAGUUUUGGAUCCCAGUUCACAAGCUCGAGAAUUCUCUUUCCAUCUUCUUCAACAAUGGUGUUGAAAUACUCUGGAUAUUUUCUCACACGAUCUCUGAAAUCUUCUGGGAUCCCAAAUAAUGAUCUACAGUGAUAGAUCUUGCUUAGAGGAAUUCGUUUAUUUGCAGACAUCAUUAGCAGCUUUCUAACAGUAUUGAUCCGAUCAUGUUCCAUUUCAUCCAUAAUCAUCUUCUCUUCUUCCAGAAAUGUCUCCAUGAAAUCUGUGAAUCCGAACCAGAUUUUGUCAUUGGAGUGGCGGUAGGUUUGGAAAAUGAGAGGGUGGCGCUGGAGGAAUUUUAGAACUUUACGGCCGCGAGGAAACCCUAGCUCACGGUAGAGUUUUCCGGCAUCAUCUAGGCGGAGGACUUGUUGUGGUUGUUUCAAGAGGUAAUCCUUGGUUUUGGUGACAAAGCGGAAGUGAUUGUCUCGAUUGAGGAUCUUCUCGAAGUGAGGAAUACGUUCGGAUUCGUGCUGGACGUGUUUGGUUCUCGCGGAUUCUUCCUUUUUGCGUUUUUUCUUCUGAGAUUUGGGGGUUUUGGUGAUAAGAAAUGAAGUCGAGUAAGACCGUGUGAUGAAGGUGGAGAUAGAACAUAGACUAGGGUUAGGGCUAGCGACGGCGGAGUUUUUCAGCGGCAGUUGCUUGUUUUUGGUGGCGGUGGAGAACAGACGCCAAAACGCCAUUGACAAUGCUACUGAUCGACGGGGUAUUCACAUUUGCCACAUAACAAAAAUCAACUACCUCCGUAAACAUAAAUAGGAACUCACUGGACACGAAUAUCAAGACCAUAAGUAUAAUCUUACCUUGUCAAAGACGAACAUAGUCGUUAUCACCUGAUGAAACACUGAUCACGAGACCAAACUACAUCUCAAAUUCCAGCUCCAAGAAAUUAGAGUCAACAGUGCAUGCUUUCAUAUUUCUAUAAACUGAAAAUCAGAAGGGUAAAAUCAAUUAUAUCGUGAUUUCAUAUUUCUAUAACUUAUCAUCACAAAUAUCCUAAAAGCAAAAGGAAAACUUACCAAGACUAACACGAGCAUAGCUCCUGAAGAACGAAAUGCCAAUGAGAUUCACAAACAAGUUAGUUACUGCAGAAACGAUCAAGAAAUGCCUGCAUUUGACAAUUGUAAAACUGUAAAUAACCAUUUUCACCAUUUACUCCCUGUAAUAAUGUGUAGCAUCAUUAGUAUAACAAAAAACAAUUGAUUCAAAUAUCAUACAUAUAAAAAUAUCAAGAACAUGCUUCUUUUACAAUGAUUAAAAGUUCAAUGUACUCAUCUACAACCACUGUUUGUGGGAUGGAGGAGUAAAAAUCAUCAACAACAAAACACACUCAAAACCCCCAAAAAAUAUUGUUAUUUUCUAAGAUUAGUACAUAACCUAGAAUAGAUUACAAUAAAUCAACCUUACUAUCAACAAAAACCACAAUAUCACAUUAUCAAUAUAUCUAACCACAAAUCAGAAGCCUAAAUCUAUAUUAAAAAAACAUAUAACAACUAGAAAUCAGAAGUCUAGAUUACCGGAUAUGAAGUAUUGGAUCCGAAAUUAGGUCGUCGGUAGGAGGACGACGACCAACGGACUAAAGCAAGCGGCAGAGGGUGACGGCGAGACGCGAGAAGCACGAUGGUUAACAGGGUCGUUCAACUGCUAGAGAUAGGCACGAUAGUCGAAGAUCGCUAGGAGGGUGUGAUGAAGACGAAGAAACGAAGUGGCAAGCCAGAAGCAUCAAGAACUGAAUACAAAGAGCCUCCGAAGACUAAAGGAAAAUGAAAGAAACAAACCUAAACAUCAUAUUAUAUGUAUAUAUAUAGUUAUAUAUUAAGAGGGUGUUUGGCUUAGCUUUUGUGGGGCAAAAGUCCUUUUUGUAAAAGGACUUUUUGGAAAAAUUAUUUUUUAAAAUGUGUUUGGAUUAGCUUUUGAAGAGAAAAGUCAAAAGUUAAAGUGUUUGGUUUAACUUUUAUAUGUAAAAUGACAAAAAAAGGCAUGUUUACAUAUUUCAUCAGCUUCAUAUUUCAUCAAUUUCAUUAACUGUUAAUUCAUUUUUCAACAAGUUCACAAAUAUAAUCCAUUAACUGUUAAUUCAUUUUUCAAGGAAAAUUUCAUGACAGUCGCAUAUCGCAUUCAAAUCACAUCUAAUUACAUAAAGAAACUAAAUAAUCAGAAGGUUCGAUCAGAAAAGGGAAGACUUAAAAAGAUGGUGCAAGAAUUGAACACCGAUUUCAUAUCAAGAAACCGAAUUCUAAGAAUCUUUUCAUCAAACAGAUGGUGCACCACCAAGAACAGUCAUAUAUUCAAACACCAGUUUGAUAACUAGAAAUCAAAUUCUGAGUCUUUUAAUCAAAAGAUGAUGCGCCACCAAGAACAGACAUGCAUCCAAAAUUAAAAAGUCAGCAACAAAAAGAAUCACAAUAAAGAUAAUAAAAGCAAACCAAUCAAACAUUUCAUCUCCCAAUUCAGUAGCAGCAACGCUGAAGACUUCUCGAUGACCAGGAUGACUUCCACAGAAAACACAAAUCAAUUUCACAGCAUAUCAAUUAUUUCACAGCACAUCAUUUUCACAGCAAAUCAAUUACAUAAUAUCAAUUUCAGAAAUCGGAAAUCAAAUGGAAAUCGGAAAUCGGAAAUCAAAUGUAACAUCAUAGAUCGGAAAUCAAAUGGAAAUCGGAAAUAGACAGGAAGAGAUUGCAAAUCUGAGAUCGGAAAUCACAUCUGAGAUCGGAAAUCAAAUUGAAAAGAAACAAACCUGAUCGCUCGCGGGGUUGCAGUUCGCGCGGUGUCGCCGGUGUUGCAGGUCGCCGGCGUCGCGGUGUUUGUUGCAGGUCAAGAUGCGGUCGAGAUGCGAGAGGAGUGCGUGAGCGGAGAGAACAAGAAGAAACUGUG